rnacentral:lncRNA from 1 species
AAAAAUCAUGACUGAUUUUAUAGUGUACACAUAUCCUUGUCAACAUUUUAAGUAUAUGUGUUAGUAGGAGUACUAUCAAAAGAAGAUAAACGCAUGCACCAAAAGAGAAAAUUAUUAAUGAUAUGAUACAACUGAGAAGUGUCUUAAAAUUAAUCCAAAACACAAACAUAUAGAAUAGGUAACAUUUCAGAAAACUCACAACACAAAAAUGAUUGGUUUGGUGUCACAAUGCCAAUGCCAAUGCUAAAAUGAUCAAAGAUUAGUGCACAUUUCCAUUUAAUUCCUAACAACAGUUCUUUAUAACCUCAUGGGUAAUACUCAUGUUAAACUAAGGUAACAAUGAGUAUUUAUAAUCCAAAAAGUAAAAAAUAAUUUAACAAAGGAACAGCUGCCAGCCGGAACAUUUAUUGCACUGAGAGUUAAUAUUGAGACCCUUUGAAAAUCUGAGUGAACUCUAUGUCCACCUAAGUCCUCACCAGAGGUUCCUGCUGCUACUCGUAUAAUAUCUUCAAUAAGUGCAAAGUUCCCCAAUAUAUCAACAUGAGCACCACUCUGGGUUCCCUUCCUUCGAGAAGAUUAGCCGGAGCAGCGUCUUCAUACUCCCUUAUGAACGUUUAGAUGCCUGAAGGAUUAAAGCGGGUUUUUCCCCGCCAACCUCUUGCACAAAUGAAACCAGCGCUUAAAAGAGGAUCGGUUUCAUCCCUGUUGGCACUAUAAACUCCAUCCUUUAAAAAAGGGUCCUCAUCUCCACCAAUUGCUGAUGUGUCAAUCUGAAACGAAAUGUAGCAUUCCGAUUGGGAGGUUGACUUAUAAACAUAGGCUCCUUACAAUGGAAUCCCGACCCCAUACAUAGAGUAAAUCUCCAUAUUUGGAGCAUGUGGUAAUCUGCAGCAGCAGGACAAAAAUAUAACACAAACCAUAAAGAGAAGUAGUAUGAAUAAACAACGGAUUUUAAAAGACAGCAGGAUACAACAUUAUAGAAGAUAGCAAAAGCAAGAAUCUAUCAAUACCCCAAACCAAGGUAAUAAAAUGAUUAAUUACGUAGUAGCUAAGUGCCAACAAUAAUUACUUAACCGUAAAGUAAAAUUCGUAUUGAUAAUGUGUUAUGAAAAUAAGGAUUAGGGUUUGAGGGAAGGAAGAAAGAGAAUAGGAAUAGAAUGAUAGAUAAUUUUAUUAUUGAUCGUGUAAAUUAGAGAAUAUGAGAGGAGUUAUUUAUAGCCAAGGAUCUAACUCUUAACCAAAGACCCAACGUCUCGCUAGAACAUCCACAAUAAAUAUAUUUAUAACAACAAAGCAUUAUUUAUGGUUUUAAUUUGAGAAUUUGAAAUUUAUUUAUCCAUUGACUUAUAAUAUUUAAUUUAUAUUUAGACUUUUUAAAAAAUUAGAACACACUUUUAAUUUAUAUAAUACAUUUUUAAAUCUAUGAGAUUAAAUAUCAAUAUUUUUAUAUUUUUUUUAUCAUUAUUUUGUGGGUCACACACUACGGUACAGAUGCAAAGUACAGAGAUUUUCCCUGAAAUUUUUGUUUACGGACACGUCUUUUACUCUCCCUCUUGUAGCAAUUAGGGCUUGUGAUGGAAAGGUUGGCUUGGCUAAAAUCACAUUAGAGUGAUCAUAUGUAAAAAUUUGAUAACCUUAUUUAUUUAUUAUUCAAGAGUUUUAAGAGUUUUGUUCAAGAAUUUUUUUUUUUGCCUAAUAACAAUUUUAUAGUAAUAUAAAUUUCUAAUGGAGGUUUAUGAAAAAAAAAUAUUUUUAACAAAGACUACACGUUUUUUUAAAUACAUUUUCAUAAAUAAAUAUCUACAUAAUUAGUUAAUAGUACCAUAAAUUUCUAAAAAUAACUUGCAAUAAUUACAAUUCUAAAUUAAACCUUAAAUAAUGACUUUUGGAUUAGCAAUGUAUUGGAUAAUAAUAGAAUAGAAUUUAGAUUCUAUCCUAAUUCUAUUUGCGUGUUUAAAUUAUUUUUAAAAUUCAACUCUAUUCUAUUCGAGAACUAAGGAUCUUUGAACUCUAACCGUACUCGUAUCUUAAAGUUUUUUUUAUCUAAUUCUAUUUGCAAUAAAUUAUUUUUUAAUCAUAAAUACACUGAUUUAUUAUCUUAUUUUUUGUGUAUAUUAUUAUGUCGAAUAUAAAUAAAAUAAAUUUAGAGUCAAUGCAUCAAAUAUUAGUAUAUCAGUACAAACAAAUGUUAGUACACUUUUAAAAAAAAUAAAGAGUGUAGUGCUCUGUAAAUUUAACUUGCCAUUAAAAGUAAACAAAAAAAAAGAGAAAACAAAAAAAUAAAUAAAUAAUAAAACAUCAUAAACUCUAAAUCUAAAACUUUAAAACGUAAACCUUACAAAAUCAUAAUUGAUAUGAUCGUUAUAAAUCGGUCAUACAUUAUAAUUCGGUCAAGAAUGUUAUAGAUUCGUUUUCAAUAAUGAUCAUCAAAGCAGAUCUCAAAACGCUCAAAUGAGCUAUUACUCUCUGUUAAUGGCAAAAUUACUCGGAGACUCAACGGGGUGAAUGCAGAUUGGAUCAGAUCGGAUAUGGCCAAAAUUUCGAUCCGAUCCACACUAAAAUCAUCAGAUCAGAUCGGAUCCAAUAUCCGCAGUUUUUAAGUUUGAAUCCGAUCCGAUCCGCACAUUUGCAGAUUGGGUCGGAUUGGAUAUAUCCGUAAAACACAAAAAAUAUUUUUAAAAGUUUAUUUUUAUUAAAAAAUAUCAAUAAAAUUUAUUUUUUCUAUUCUUUUAAAUAUGUUUACUCUUAAAAUAAUAUUAAACAUAUUUUUUUAAAUAAUAAAUUAAAAUAAUACAACAUAUAUGAUAAUUAUUAGUUGAAAUAAAACAUAAAAAAAUAUUUACUUAUUUAUUUCUUUAUUUUUGUGGAUACGUGGAUAUGCGAAUCGGAUAUGCAUACCUACACAAAAUCCGCAAUCCGAUCCAAUUAGUGUGCGGAUCGGAUCGGAUUCGGAUAAAUACCGCGGAUAUGCGAAUUAGAUCCGAUCCAUGAACACCCCUAACUCAACCAUUAUCUUCCAUUGCAGAUAUAAAAGAAAGGGUAAGAAAUGUUGUUCAAAUUAUUACAACUUACAAAGCCUAUUAUUCACUUAUUAACUUGAGCGUCGGAGUGAUUUUUACAGAUAUCCACCCCUUAUUCUCUUAUUGCCGACGUGUAACUCAUCUCAACGGAAAAUUUACAAAAAUUUAUCGACAAACGAGCUAUAUAACCACCAACCUCCACAAAAACAAUAAUAAUUAUAACCCUAAACUUAAACCCAAGUCUUAUACUCUUAAAUCUUAAACAAUAUAAGCUAAAGCUUACCCCUUAAUGGGCAAUGGCUUUUUUUUGUUUAUCAAAAAGAAAAAAAAUUACAUUUUCAAAAAACCAAGAUGACCCUCAUAUUUUUUGUUUAAUGAAAUUAAGUUCUUAGAUAAAAAAAAUUAGUAAAAGUUGAUUUUAGCAUAGUUAUUAAAUCGAGUUUGAUCUUAUUAGUCGAAUUGGUAAAUCCAGGUUGGCUUAGUUGAUUGAAUUGAAAAUUUGGUCAUCAAUCUAUAUUGGAUCAUUAAAAAUAAUAACAUCUUCCAUUGCAACUUAAUCUUUUAACAACAACAAUAACAAUAACAACAAAAAUAUUAAUAUUCAAAUUAAAAAAAUAUUAUUUCAAAUUUAGGGUCAUUUUUACGUUAUUUAUAGGUUAAUUUGAUUAGUAUUUAAAUAUCAGUGAGGCUCAGCUCUAAUACUUUUGCUGUUGCACAUUCAAUUAGCAUUACAUAAGUGUUUUAACUUAAAGAACUCUAAUUUUAUGUCAACUUGACAAUGAACAUAUAAGUUUUUGUAAAAAAUGAGUCUUUAAUUUCUAGUUAGAAGCAAUCUUCCACCAUUAAUAAGUGAAAUAAAUAUAUUGGUAAUAAAUUAGUCAUAAUAUUAAUCCAAACUUAUCUAUAACUAUAUAUUAUUGUUGAUAAAAUUUAAGAGAAAAUCCUACUCUUCUUCUUUAAAAGAUACUAAAAUAACAUUUUUUUUAUUUAUAAAAUGUACAUUUUUUUAUAACUUUUAAAAAAUCUUCUCUUUAAUCCAUUUUAAAUUGUUUGUGCUAAUUAUGGUCAUAUAUCUAAAUUAUACGUAUUACUAGUAUAUAGUAUUAUUAAUUAAAUAAAAUCAAUAACAAAGUAUUGAUUCAAAAUGAGUUCAUGAUCUUUAUAUUUAAUUUUUUAAAUUCUAAAGUAACUAUUUUCAGGAUUAAAGCUUUUUAAUUGUAAUAGAAAUUAGAAUUUUGAAUUUGAUUUAAAAAAAUUAAAAUACUCUUUUUAUUAAUUUACAUACGACUAAAAAAUAUUAUAAGGGAGUUAAAUUGUGCUUUUUGGUCUAAAAAUCAAAGACAAUGUACAUUAUAAAUACAUAACUCUCUAAUUUUAUAUUUCAAAUUUUUUCACUCAUGUAAUUAUUUCACUUAAUUACAAAUUAAAAAAAUAAAGUCAAUUUCACUAUAAUCAAACCCAAGGACCAUUUAUAUAUAAACAUUGGAUAAUUAGACUUUUUUUAUAAAAUUUUUCUUUGUUUGUAUUUUUUAGUCAUUUUAAUACAUGUAUCAAAUAUAUAAAUUAAAUACUAUUAGAAUUUAGAAGUAUUUAACAGAUUAAUGGAAAAAAUAGUUAAAUAAAUAUGUAAAUAAUUGAAAACAUAAUGUCAAUUUUUAAAUAUACUUCAUAAUUGAAUUAAUAAAAUGUUAUUAUUAUUAGGGUAAAAAAUACAUAUAAGCCAAGGAGAGAAGUUUAUUACGCAUUUCAGCCAAACAAGAAUCUGAAGCAAGAAUCAACCAAAGCACACUAUAAUGUAGUUCGAAGCAACAAAAUUCGAAUUACAUUCCUUCAUAAUUCGAAUCAAAACAGCACGAAUUAUGCCCAACCAUUGCGGACAAGUAAUUCGAAUCAACUUGGUUCAAAUUACAGAAGCAUAAUUCGAAUAAUGUCAAUUCGAAUUAGUACCAACACAUGACUAGGAGGAAGUUCGAAUCAUAUUGACUCGAAUUCCUCACAUUUCGUAACAAAUGGUAAUUCGAAAUGUGUUGAUUCAAAUUAUAUAUAUAUAGUGCGAAUGAGGAUGAUUCAGAUUAUUGUGAACCAGACCUGUAUAUAUAUGAUGUGAAUGUGAGUUGCUCUCAUUAGAGGGGUCAGAUGGCUAGUAAGGACAGUUUUGUAGUGUUGGUUCAUCACAGAGGAUCGAUUAAGAGAAAAACUCGUUCCGGUGUGAAGUUCACCGAAAAGGAUCCUCUCUGUAUUAUCGUGAGGCCUACGACGAGCUAUGAUGACCUUGUUAGCUCUGUAAUGCUGAAACUUGGUCUGGAAGGUGUGAAAAGGGUUAAGAAGUUUUUCUAUCGCAUUCUAAUCACGGUGCUCUAAGAUACCGUGAAGUAUGAUUGUUUCACGAUCGGGAGUGAUGAGGACUUGCAGAUUAUGUUUCAUUGUCGCCGGCAGUUUCCCGAAGUGAAGACACCAGAGCUGUUGGCAAAGUUGGUUGAUGUGGUAUCCAGUUUGGGGGGUUCGAACCGGAAUACCAACACUUUAGCCACGGUGGCCGGUUCUAGCUCGAGACCUGCCCUUGCUUCUUCGUCCGUCCCUGCGUACGAGCCACCGAUCCAGCCUGUUGCCUCCCCUUCGUUCGCUGUUGAUCUCAACGGCAGUGUUGGCGACGAGGUUGGAACAGGGGACUUUCUGCCGACCUCUCUACAUUGUGCUGCACCGGAUGGUCUUGGAGAUGGAUUGUUUGACGAUCCAGAGGACGAUGAUGUCGAGUCGGAUAUGAUUUCUGAUGACAGUGGCGAUGAUGUUGGAGCGAGUGAGCCUGCAGAGGCGGGAGGUGGUUCUAGCUCUGGCACACACCAGUACCCUCCACAUUUUUCAUCUUUGGACCUGGAUGCCAUGAGGCAGGAGGGGGUUCCUGGGCAGCCUGCUGGAUUUGGCGCUAGAGAUGCGGAAGGGUCUGCUGGUCUGACAGAGUUCCAGGUUGGUCAGCAAUUUCGGGAUAAAGAUGAGGCCCUGUUAAGUGUGAAGACUUACAGCAUCCGCCGAGGGGUACAAUACAAGGUAGUUGAGUCGGACUAUCGCCGGUAUGUGGGCAAGUGUUCCGAGUUUGGGAAUGGGUGCACAUGGUUGAUUCGGUUGAGUCUCCGGCAGCGAAAGGGCAUUUGGGAGGUCAAACGAUACAAUAGACUGCAUACGUGUCUCGCAACCUCCAUCUCCAGCGACCACAGGAGUUUGGAUUAUCAUGUGAUAGCGGCAUUCAUUAUGCCAAUGGUUAGGGCUGAUGCAUCCGUCAGCAUCAAGGUGCUCCUAAAUGCCACGGCCACACACUUUGGGUUCAGGCCGACGUACCGGAGGGUCUGGUUGGUGAAGCAGAAGGCUGUUGCCAUCAUCUACGGUGACUGGGAUGAGUCAUACAACGAGCUCCCUAGGUGGGUGUUAGGAGUCCAGUUGACCAUGCUUGGUACUGUUGCAGUCCUUAGGACUAGCCCUGUUCGAGUUGGGGGACAGCUGAACGAGUCUCAGGCUUAUUUUUACAGGUUGUUCUGGACGUUCCCACCAUGUAUCGAGGCAUUCCGUCAUUGCAAGCCGUUGGUGAGUAUUGACGGCACCCAUCUAUAUGGCAAGUAUGGGGGAACGUUGCUUAUCGCAAUUGCACAGGAUGGGAACUCCAACAUACUUCCUGUUGCAUUCGCACUAGUCGAGGGUGAGAAUGCUAAGUCGUGGUCCUUCUUUCUCUCCCACCUGCAUCAGCACGUGACGCCGCAGCCGGGUCUGCUGGUUAUUUCGGACAGGGAUAACAGCAUCAAGGCCGCGCUUGAGGCUCCCGACGGGGGAUGGCUACCUCCAGCUGCAUACCGGGCGUUCUGCAUUCGACACGUAGCAGCAAAUUUCGCCCUCACCUUCAACGGCAAAGACGCAAGCAGGCUUCUUGUGAACACUGCAUAUGCUAAGACCAAGGACGAGUUCGAUUACUGGUUUGAUAUUCUACGCUCUAAAGAUCCGGCGAUGUGUGACUGGGCGAACCAGAUUGAGUAUUCAUUGUGGACAUAGUAUUGUGAUGAGGGACGCAGAUUCGGGCAUAUGACGACGAAUAUCUCUGAGUGUGUGAACUCAAUCAUGAAGGGUGUCAGGAACCUACCUGUGUGCUCGCUGAUGAAGGCCACAUGCAGAAGGUUGGCCAAACUAUUUGUCCGCAAGGGGAGAGAAGCCGAGGCCCAGCUGGGUACCGGACAACAAUUCAGUCAACACCUGGUUAAAUGUAUCGAGGCCAAUUUGAAGACGGAGAGGUGCUUCACUGUGACUGUGUACGACAGGGAUAACUCAGAGUACACCGUGGUAGAGACGACUCCGACUGGUUCGUUCUCACUGGGUAGCUACAGGGUCUCCCUUGGAUCUCAGACAUGUGACUGUGGAUACUUUCAGGCACUUCAUUUUCUGUGUUCGCACAUAUUGGCAUGCUGUGCCUACUCAUGGGUUACUUGGCAGCCAUACGUCCACCAGGUGUAUCGUCUUAGUUCGAUUUUUAGUGUGUAUCGGAUGGGAUUCGCAGCUCCCAUUCUGGAAGGUUUCUGGCCACCAUAUGAUGGGCCUACAGUGAUACCGAACCCGAACAAGAGGCGUGCGAGGGAGGGUCGUCCCAGGUCCACUCGGAUACGGACCAAUAUGGACGAGGCAGAUCCGAACCGGCCAAAGAGAUGUGGCCUCUGUCGGCAACCCGGACACACUCGUCGGAGUUGCCCAGAGGUCGGAGGACCCAGCCAUGGAGGGAGAAAUGAGUAGGUGUGGUGUUGUGUUGUUAGUUGUAUUAGUUUGAUCAUUCAAAUUUUUUUUUGACACGAAUGUUUUAGGUUUGCUAAGUUGUCGGUGUUUAGUCAUGAGAAAUUGUUACAGUAAAAGUAAUGUAUUUUAAAUGUCUUAUUAAUUAAUGAAUGUGAUCCAUUUCCGACAUGAAAUAUCACUUGGUCAGCCUAUAGUUAAGACAAUAACAUGAACUUUCAAAUUAAAUGAAACAUGCUAACUAAAAUAUGGAAAUAGGUUAAAUAAGCUAAGUACACAUGUUUUCAUACUGACUGAUAGACGAUAACGCAAUAAAGUACCGCACACAUACAUCAACUGAUAAACUAAAGCUGGCUACGAAACAACACUGAUAACGAAAUACAUAAACAAAAAUAGGUUACACACAACACUGAUCAUGAAAUAACAUACAACACAAUACACAAAUCAUCUAAAUAAGUGCGACCCCGUGAAGCACCGACGUGGAACCCGUGUUCUCUGACCUCUCCAGAUAAGCUGCUCCUCAUCCUCGAUCUCAUCCUCCUUGUCCUCCGGGGGUGGCUGUGCAGGCAUCCUAGGCUGGACAUGUAAAGCUCGGGAUGAAGACGGCCCGGCAACUGACUGUGACCUCACAGUAUGUGCGGAUGGUGGGAUACCACCCAAGGCAGAAUACUCAACAGGAGCCACGGAGGGAGGCUCAUUCAGAUCGACAGCUAACGGUGCUUGUGUCCCCGUCGUCUGACCCCAUCGACGGGAAGCCUCAUCCUCCUGCAUGAUGGCACUGAUCUCAUCUAGGAAGUGUGAUCCACCGAACUCUGCAUCAAGACCAUCACCGGCAAGAAAGUCUGGAAACAUGGAUCCUAGACUCACCCAUGGCGUACUCUCCUGAAGUGUCUGAUCGUCAGCGGGAACACCAACGAAAUAAUCUCCGAGCGACCCCUGUCCAAGUCUAGCAUCAUCAUGGGCAGAAGGAUCUCCCAUACCGGACCCAUACCACUCUCCACCAUGCCCGCCAUGAUCGGGACUAACACCCCCCACUGCAGGCCCUCCUCCAGCGGCAUCCUCACCACGAUCACCGUGAUCCUGCCUAGCAGCAGGCGCUCUCCGUCUGCCUCCACGCCCUCGUCGUCGACCACCGCCCUUACCUGCGUCGUCACCCUCCUCCAUAGCCUGGUCCAGCCACCUCCACUCAUGCUGGCUCCGUCGUGUCCCGACUCGAGCUCUCCUCUCAACCCGACGCUUAUCAGGAACGUCGUCAACUCGGUCCAUAUCAGGUACUCGGCCAGAACCCCUCUGCGUCGCCUCAACCAGAAUAGGAAUGGCUCUCGGAUCCCCCAAGUACAUCUCAGGUGACAAGAACCUCUUUCCGUGCUGAUGCCACCAGUCCAAGAAGUCAUGUGAGGGUCCCGGGUCGGCAACAACGCCGAACUGCAGAACGUGAUCCGCACGUGUCUCCCAGUGAAGAUGCCAGUGCUGCAAGUGGUGCAGGAACCAAUGAUCACCUCCUCUCCCGUCCUUCGACAUCAAGAAGUCAAUGUUCAGGACGGGCUGCGGGCGGGCCUGUACGCCGCCGAACUAGGGUAACACCCUAUCAAUCUGAUGCCACUCAACCACCGCAAAAUAUAUCAGUGACGUCACACACCGCCAUAACGUCGUAUGACGAGGCUCCAACACCUCCGGAUGGACAACCUGAAGGACGUCGGGUGUGCUAUAGGGCAUCCAUAUAAACUGAAAAAAAGCAGCUCAAAUUCGUUAGACCAAAUCGUUUUGAGCAGGUCGAAGCUAUAAUUAGCUAUAGUUAACUAUGCAUUUACUAUACUUAGGAGGUUAGCAUACUCACAUCCCUAGCCUGUAACAUGUCAAUCCUCAGUUGAGUCAUUUGCACCCGAGGUCCCUUCUCGCUAAUGCCAGGAUUGUAACCUGACCACCUGCAUAGGAAGUCAACAUGGUAGCGCAUUCAUGAAUGUGACGAAAUAGUAUAACAUUACAGGCGAAAUUGGAAAUAAAUAAAAUAAAGAUGCAUAGUAAACUGCGAUAGUGGUACCUCGAGGCCAGGGGCCAACUAAACACAUCAUACCCAGCAGGCCUAAAUCCAGGAAAGCGCCAAAAGAUCGAGGACUGAAGUAACUGUAACGGCCCAGCUAACUUCACGAUAUGUCUAUUGGCCACUCGGCACAUGCACCGGUACAACCAUGCUAGUGCCGCCGACCCCCAGCUGUAGCCACCCAUCUCCUCAAGCCUAGCCACGAACGGUAGCCAUCUGAUGUGAAUACGAUUGCCGGACUUGUCGGCAAACAGCUGGGUGCCCAACAACAUCAUGAUAGGCAUGGGCAAAGCACCUCACUGUCUCCUCAUUGGCCCCCUCGGGACACUCUCCAAAAGUCUCCUGGAACCAGGUGCAGUUCACUGCGAACUUUUGAAUUUGGUUCGCGGGAGGUAACACACCGAGCAACUUCUGGAACCACUGCCAAGCUGGCCUGCCACCCUGUAUGUAUACGUGGAAGUCUGUCAGGCAACCACUGACGUAACGUCCGUCCACUGGCAACCCCAACUGGUACGCGACAUCCUGAAGUGUGAUCGUGCACUCUCCGAACGGCAUGUGGAACGUGUGCGUCUCCAGACGCCACCUCUCCACGAAGGCACUCACAAGGGGCUCGUCCAAUCGGAACCAUCUGUCGUUCAGUCUCGCAAGAUGGUAUAAUCCGGCCAUCUGUAAGUAUGGAACGUACCUCUCAUCGAGUCGCAUCCCUGCUGCCGCCGCAUGCUCGAUAUGCAACGCCGGGGCUGCGCAUUACAUGGACUGCAUAAUUAGAACGAAUUACAAUACCACUAACAGAUGCAAUUCAUGACGUAAACAACUAACAAAUACCACAUGCAAAAGCAAAAUGUAGUAAACCACUAGCAAAAUCGCAUACUAAAACUGCAUCCAAAAAACCACUAACAUAAACCACAUGCAAAUCCACUUACAAAAAUCACAUGCAAAACCACUCAAUUAACCACCUCCAAUACCACCACCCUAAACCGCUAACAUAAAUCGCUAAAAUAAACCACCAAUAAAACUGCAAACAAAACCACUAGAAUAAACCGCAUGCAAUACCACUAACCCAAACCAUUAACAUAAAUCGCCAAUAAAACCGCAUGCAAAACCGCUAACAUAAACCACUUGCAAUACCGCUUUCAUAAACCACUAACAUAAACCACUAUCAUAAACCACUAUCAAAAACAACUAACCUCGUCGUUGAUCACCCUGGCGAUAUGAGCAACUCCAUCCAAACGAUACAGCCUUCCCGGAUCGUCCCCAUCGCCUGAGUAUGCCGCUCCAGUCUUUCUCGGACCGAUUCUGGGUCGUUUUCUCUGGGAUUUGGUGGGGUAUGAGAAUGGAAAACUGAUUCGAAUGACCUUGGUUCGAACUCCUUAUAUAAGCCUCUCCCUUGUAAUUCGAAUCAAUAAAAUUCGAAUUACCAUAUGUUACCAAAAGUGAGUAAUUCGAAUCUAUAUGAUUCGAACUCCCUUUUCGUCACGUGAUGCUACUAAUUCGAAUCGAGUCUAUUUGAAUUAUGCUUUUGUAAUUCGAUACAUGUUGCUUCGAAUUACUUGUACGUACUCAUUGGGCAUAAUUCGUUAUGUGUUGAUUCGAAUUAUUAAGGAAUGUAAUUCGAAUAAGGUUGUUUCGAAUUACAUUAUAGUGUACUUUGAUUGAUUGAUGAAUCAGAUUCUCAAUUGGCUGAUAUGUGUAAUAAAAUACUCCCCUUUGGCUUAAAUGUGUUUUUUACCUUAUUAUUAUUAACAAUUUUAAGUAUUAUAUAUAUAAUAAAUUUUGCAAGUAAUUGAUAUAGAAUUAUGGAUAGAAAAAUGGUAAGUUGAAUUAGAAUAUGAACAAUACUACAUAGCUGCUAGUAAAUAUUAUUAUUUUUUGUUAACAAUAAUUUAUAUCUAUAUUUAGUUAUUUACAUACGCUUUAUACAUAAAAGCAUAUAAUUUGUAUUUAUAUUUACUAGAGUUUUAUACACAUAAAUCAAUACAGUUUGUACCUAUAUUUUUUAGAAUUUACAUACAUAAAUUAAUAAAAUUUAUUUGUUAAAAAUAAUUUAAUAUUUGUGCUGACUAAAUAAUGACCAAAACUUUAAAAGUUGCUAGUUCUAAAACAUUUCUCAUAAAAUAUUAGUUUACAAAUGAAUUAAAGAAAGUCAUGUAACUCUUUUUUCAUUUUUGAAUUAUACAAGAAAAAAACUCUCUUUGAUAUAUAUUAUAUAGAAUAUUAUCAAUUUUCUCUGUCACUUAAAAAGCACAUAUGCCAUAAUUUUUGUAAAAAAUAAUUAUAUCAAUUAAAAUUAAAAUCAUAUUUUAGCUAAUUAAUAUUUUUUAUCUUAGCUAAUUAAUCUUAUUAUUGGUAUUAAAAGUUUAAAAUUCUUUUUUUAUUUUUCUUGCAGGACCAUUAAAGAGAAAAAAAAAAAAUCAAGAGAGUCAAGGACCAACUUAUAUACAACAAAAGGUCCAAUGCAACAUAAAUGACUUCUCCUUUAUUGUGGCUGACUAAGCCAAGCCACUAACUUUCUAGGUCACCACAAAUUGCUUCUCCAAUCUAAAGACAAAAUAGUACACGUAUUGCAAGAAGAGUUAUGUUACGGGAAUAUCUAUAAACUUAAAUCUGUACACUAUAAUUCACCUUGUUUUGUUUGUGUCUAAGUUAGAUUUCUCUUUGUUUUAUUUUUAAAUUUUAAAAGAUAUAUAUUAUUACCAAAAUUUUAUUAUAAAGUUAUCAUUUUUAUUNNNNNNNNNNNNNNNNNNNNNNNNNNNNNNNNNNNNNNNNNNNNNNNNNNNNNNNNNNNNNNNNNNNNNNNNNNNNNNNNNNNNNNNNNNNNNNNNNNNNNNNNNNNNNNNNNNNNNNNNNNNNNNNNNNNNNNNNNNNNNNNNNNNNNNNNNNNNNNNNNNNNNNNNNNNNNNNNNNNNNNNNNNNNNNNNNNNNNNNNNNNNNNNNNNNNNNNNNNNNNNNNNNNNNNNNNNNNNNNNNNNNNNNNNNNNNNNNNNNNNNNNNNNNNNNNNNNNNNNNNCUCUCCUUUUGUCGUCGUGUUUGUGUUUAAGUUAGAUUUCUGCCGGUUUUAUUUUUAAAUUUCAAUUAGUAUUGGCUUUAUAUAUUGUUUGAAGUUGAUUGGUGUAAAAAAUUUGUUGACACAUUAAAUGAGUAGUAGAGUUAUAAAAAAAAAUACAAACUUUAAAGGUAAAAGUGAAAUAAGAUUAAGGGCUUAUUUAGGUAAGUUUUUAAAAAAAUAUUUUUUUCGAAUUAUUUUUUAAAAAAAUCUUAUAGAAAAGUAAAAGUAAAUUUAUGUUUGGAUAUCUCAUUCCAAAAGAUCUUUUUAUCUAUCAAUUAUGGUACUUUUUUGUUUAUUUAUUACAUGAAAAACAUCUUUUUUUUAAUGAAAAAAUAUCUUUUAAAAAAAGAUGUAAAUUAUAGCUUCUUAAAAAAUAUGCGUUUUUAUUUUUCUAAUGCUUUUACUUUUACUAAUAAAAAUUUGCAAAAUACACUAACAAAUAAAAAAAAAUCUUUUUUCAUUAAUAAAAGAUCUUUUUUUUUUAAGAUAUGGCGCCCAAACAAGCACUAAGAAGUACAUUGUUGUAGAAUUUUUUUUAAAAGUAAAAAAUUAGUUCUCGUGUAUAUUAGUUUAAUUAAUUUUAUUAUAGAAUAUCAAUCAUAUUAUUAUAGCUCUAUUAUCAUAUGUUUCCAUUUUUAUGUUUUUUCAAAAGGCAAAAUAUAGAUAUUGAGCACCAUUUGAAUUCAUAACAAGAAAAGAAAUUAAUUAUCAUAGUACAUGUUAAGUUUUAUAUUACUUAAAAUAAAUGAUGAUAAUUGAUGGCUCUGGCGAUUUGUGUUUAAUUAUAGUUAAUUGGGUCACUCUUGUGUUUGUAGUUAAUAAGGUCAGUUGAUACAACAAUUUAUUUUCCUUGACGAAUUAUCUCUUGGUAAGGUGGUGUUGUGUUUGUUCUUUGCUCAUAUUUUAUUUUCUUUGUCUAACAUAUUUUGUUCAAGUCGAUCGAAACGUUGACAAUAUAAUGAUUGAUUUGUUAAAUUUUUCAUUUUUAUUUGUAGUAAAUUCCUAUCAUAACCAUAAGGUAACAAGAUGUAUGGAGGAACAACAACAAUGCUAGACGAUUGCGAGUGGAGCGGUUAUUUAAAUUUCUUUCACGAUUGCAAGUGAAACAGUGAUUUAGCUCUCAUGUUAAUGGCAUAUUUUUAACUAAAAAAAUAUUAUUACUAUUUUGUCCAUUAAAUUUGGUUUAUGAAAUAAAUUAUUAGAAAAUAAAUGGUGUCUAAAAGAUUGGAUACCAAAUUUUAGUAUUGGUUUUAAAAUAAAAUGUAACACCCUACCACACAGAGUCUAUGCUUAAGUCAUAAAACUGAGGUAGUGAGGUAUUUUGACCUCUAAAAAUAAAAAUAUACAUAUGAUAUAGUUGAAAAAGUUUUACGUCUAGGAGCCUUUGAAGAAAAAUUUAAAACAAAAAUCGUAACACUCACGUAAACGGAAAUUUGGGUACGAAGAAGCGUAAGAUAUAUGUGUAUGAAUAAUAAAAAUAGAGUGUUAAAGAUAUAAUUAACAAAGCUUCAGACUCGAUUCGUGAAGAUAAACCGGCCAGAACAUGCAAGUAUAUAUAUAUACAUAUAUAUAAGAGAAUCCCAAAAUGACCUAACGCAGAAAAAUGACAGCCUGUUUCUCCGAAUCAACCUCUUAGAGGGACAAACAUAAAAUAUAAGGUGGAGAAUCUAUAUACAUACAUAAAUAUAAACAAAGAUACGACCUUCAGUCCCAAGAGUUCUUCGCUUCAUUAGCGUCUCCAGAAUACAGAGUGGUGCUUCUCAACCUGCAUCUGAAAAAUAACAAUACCGUAUGGGAUGAGAAUCGAGGGUUCUCAGUAUGGUUAAAGUACCCACAUAUAUAAUAAAUAAGGUCUCGGAAAAGCCAGAGGCAAUCCUAGCACACUCAAAUUAUAAAUCUUAAAGAGCUAAAAUGUAAACCGUAAAUGGGUGGUCCUCUAAAGCUUUCUAAACUAAACUAAUUCCUUGAAUCUAAUUAAAACUGAACUAGAAUUCUAAAUCUCUUCGCCUUUCCUCCGUUCCUCCAACUCCGAUGAAAUUACACAAAUAGACAAAUAGGCAAAGCAAGCACAGGUAGAAUACAAAUACAACAUGUAGCAAUUUAGCGAGUAGGCAAAAUAAUCACGUAGGCAAACCCAAUUAAUGCACAAGCAAUCAAAGCACACAAAUGCAUAUGAUGCAUGCCUGUCCUAUGGCUGACGAUAUCAUCUGUCGGUUAUAUAACUAACCCGACACGUCCUGGUAACUAACCAUGGACUGAAACACCCAUGUAGAGCAAGUGAGUUUGAGCUACAACCCCCUUGCUACUACCCGCUUAACCCAGAGCCAGUGGAAUAACCACUACUGCGGCUACUACCCAGGUGGGUGUUUAAAAGCUCAACCUGGAGCAAGCAGAAUAAUCCACUACUGCUGCUACUACACAGGCGUCACGAUCACUAACCUGGAGCAAGCGGGAUGAACCACCAUCCUUGCUACUGCCUAGGAUCUCAAACAUACAGUCAUUCAGUUUAAAUCAAUCAUCAUAGUUAUCAAAUCUUAAACAUUAACCUGGAACAAGCGGGACGAGCUACCAUCCUUGCUACUACCCAGGGUUUCACAAACAUUCAUUCAUUUAUUACUCCAUAAUUAAAUUCAUUUCUUCAUACUCUUCUUUCCUAGCUCACAUCCGGAGCAAGUGGUCAUUGCCACUGCCUACUACCCGGGGCCACAAUUACAUUUACACACUUCUCAUUCGUAAUUCACCACCUCUCGAACUUUCUUCAUCUCUAAGGUAGUGGUUGGUAGAGAGACAGAGAUAAAAAGACUGAGACUGAGAGACAGAGAUUGAAAUAAAUUUCAGUAUUCUGUUUGGUGUAAAGUGAGAGACAGAAAUUGAAACAAGAAUCAAACUCUAAUUUAAUUUAUAUAGAAGGUAAAAUUAGAAUUAAUUAAUUGAAAUGAGGAUAUUUUAGGUAUAAAAUGUUAUUAAAAUUUCAGUCUCCAUCUCUAAAAAUUUUAGUCCCCUGUGUCCCUAAUUUUUGGAGGUACUGAAAUACUAAAAUUUUAGAGACAGAGAGAGAAAUUUUAGUACCAGUCUCUGAACCAACAAACAUGAUACUGAGUCUCAGUCUUUCAGUCUCUGUCUCAGUACCUCAAAACAAACGCUACCUAAGUUACUACUUUUUUCUACCUUCUACUCACCAUCUAACAUACAACUGAGGUUUUUAGAGACUAAAAGAGAGAAAAUAGAGGUUUAGAGGUUCAAAAUUAUAUUUUAAAACACAAAACUCACUUUGCUGAAUUUAGGGGUCACGCAUACGCAUAAGCCACGCGUACGCGUGAGCGUGUUUUUCUUGCUCGCAUACGCCAGCAACCAGCUCGCAUACGCGAGAUGCCCAACCCGAAAGGGUUGGUCGUGUCGCGUGCAGUGGUCGCGUACGCAAGACCUGCAGAUUAGCAAAAAUCCUGAAUGCUGCAGAAUUUCAGCCUUGCCCUCCGAACUUUCGACGCAUAUAACUUUUUCGUUUUAAAACAAUUUUCAUCCGUUCUUCGAACGGUGUAAACUUCAUGAACCCAAUUUUCAUUUGAAAUAAUUUGAGAGUCCGGAAUCCAAGUUAUGGAUCACCGAAGUUCGGCUAAAAUGUAGUUUUUCACAAAACCUCUAUUUUCACAAAACACAACUCAUUGUUCACAUGAAUACAACUAAACCAUGCAUCAACAACAUACCAAGCACAGCCACCACAACCCUCAUUCUACCACAACCAACCUCAUCUCAAUGCAAAUUACUUAUUUUCAAUUAUACCAAUGCAAUUACCAAUCAUUCAACACUCAUAUAUAUAUAUAUAUAUAUAUCCACAAUCAUGAAUCAUUAAUCCCUUCAAACAUCAUCAAAUAUCCACUUAAUGUCCACUAAAAUCACCAUACAUGUUCCAAAGUCAUGAUUCAACUUAUCCUAGGCUAUCUAGCUUAAGUUUUCACAAAACAUUAUUUAUUAAAUACGAGAAACCAAAACCAUACAUUGGCCGAUUUUUUGAUAACCUGGAACACCUCAAGCAUUCCCUAACCACAAGCUCCACAACUCCAGCCCCCUCACCAACGAUACCCAGCCUCCAAAGCUAAUCCUCUAGCUUCUAAUUUCUCAAAUUAACUAUAACCGAUAACCAAUUUCAAUCUAACAUCACGAUUAUCACUAUAAUCAAUAUAGUGUUCACUAAAUCAACAUCUCACAAAGAUUUGGAGGGUUCUUACCUGAUCCACAGCUCAAACAAGCUAAACCUGACAAUACCCGCAGGUAAAUUUAAACCUAAAUACCGAAAUUACACCAAAAGUUCAACAUAAUACCUAUUGGAUUUUGAAGUUAGGGGAGAAAAAAUUGUAAAUUAGAAAAUGAAUUUCUUAGAAAAUUAGUUAUUAGAUUUUGUAGAGAAUUCCGAGAUGAACGUGUGUCUGAUGACGGCUCGUCAAUCGGAGCUCCGGAUCAAAAGUUACGUUGGAUUGAAAUUCAAGAGCAAGGGUUUGUUCCUCCCCCUUUGCUCUCCAUCGUUCUGCACUCUCUCUCUCUCCCUUAUCUAUCCUUAAUGAGCUGAAAGCUCAUGGAGGAUGCUUAAAUAGGUUGGGCCUUCGCCCAUUUUGGGUCUGGUGCAAUCGGUUCAGCCUAUUUGGUCCAAUCUUGGGCCAAAUUCUUUAAAAUUAAUGUCAAAAUUCUCGUUUUAAUUUUCUCUAUCACAUUAAAUUAUCAAAUCCCCUUUUCUGAUCACUUGAUUAAUAAUUAAUUUAUUGGUUAAUUAUUUACUAAUUACUCGGGGUUUACAUACUAUCCCCCUAAUAAAAAUUUUCGUCCCCGAAAAUUCGCUCUCAAAUAUGCAUAUAUACUCUCUCAAAUUCAACCGACCUCUUACCAUUCCUUUUUAUCAUUCUCCGACGUCAAUGUAAUAUCCUAUUCCCAACUCAAGCCUAACCUAAACCCAUUUGUCUCACUCUCCAUUUCUCGAUCCUAUAUUAAUCCACUUCCUUUCAUCAUUACAACUCUCGAGUCGCCAAAAUCACUGUGCUUCCGCAGCGUCACUCUGAUUAUAAGCCACUAAGAUUCUUAAUCAUUUACUUACUCUGCCCGAACACUCCUUGAAUCUCUCCAUCUUUCCAACUAAACGUUAUCGACCUUCACCCCAGUUGCACGAGUCCUAAUCUAUGGUCGUCUCUACCACCUAAUCGAUUAUCGCCUCCAUCACAAUUCCUAGGUUAUCCGCUCCAUUCCUUCAAUAGUAGCUCACAUAUCAGCAGCAAGAGAAUCAACCGUAUUACCUCACUCGCAUCCACAAGACGCCAUUUGGGUCUUGUCCACACCGAACGAUUGAUAUUAAGGUGAUCAGUCUUAAUAUAUAAAUCUAGUGCUUCAAAACUCCAAAAGCAUGCUCAUGAACAUUUAUGCUAUAUAUGUUAAGCAGACAUCCUAAAUAGCAUGUAUACCCAGUCAGAGUAUGCUCAGAAGCAUAGUCAGUCCAUUCUCCAAGCUCUAUGAGAACGAACUACUCUAAUACUAUAAUGUAACACCCUACCACACAGGGUCUUAUGCUUAAGUUAUAAAACUGAGAUGGUGAGGUAUAAAAAUAAAAAUAUACAUAUGAUAUAGUUGAAAAAGUUUUAUGUCUACGAGCCUUUGAAGGAAAAUUUAAAACAAAAGUCGUAACACUCAUGAUGACAAGUCAUCAUAUGCUAAUUUUGCAAGCAUUUUCACUUGUUUCAUUAGUUUUUAUGCACUUUCUUGCAUUGUAAGUUAGUAAUUUGGAGUGGAAUUGCAUGAUUUCUUUGAAUCAAUCAACCACCCUUUAAUUGACACAAAAUCAUGAAGUUUAAGCUAAAAUUAAUUGGUUUUAAAUGAAUUUUAAGCUUUGUGAAUUUUGUGAUACUUUGAUUGGUUGUUUUGAUUACUUGUAGGUGAAGAAAAGAAAAAAAUAAGGAAAGCGUAGCCUAAGGAGCAUGAUCUAAGGAAAUAAAGAAAGCAUGCACAAGGAAGAGAAGCGUGGCCCAAGGAAAGAAAAAGCAUGGUUCACACAAAGAGUGAGAGCACAAAGCUCUUGCCAAGAGCUUAGAGCUCUUGUGGAGAGCUUUACUUCAAAAAUCAAAGGCCAAGCAAGGAGCAAGAGCACAAAGCUCUUGCCAAGAGCUUAACCAAACGCUACAAGGAAUAAGGAAGCAAGGCAAACUCAAAGCUCAGCUCUUGCCAAGAGCUUUUUCGGGCUUGCUUUGAAGAAAAUCAAGGAAGAAAAGCUCACCAAUGCACUCACCAAGGUUUGAACUCAAGACCAAAGGGGGAGAGUGUAGCGCUACCUUACAAGGAAAACAAGCAAAAAUUGGCUUGUUUUCACUCCAGGAGAUUCGAACCCAAGGCAUGAGGGAAGGGGGCACCUGAAGGAUAACAAGAAGGCGUUGCUCCAAGGGGGCAAGGGCGCUCAAUUGCUCUACUUAACUGAGCGCUACUUUAUAUUGCUAGGCAUAAAGAAAAUUGGCUCCACAAAAUGCAUUCAUUGGGAAUCGAAGUGGGAGCCUCACUCAAACAACAAGGAGCGCUGCACUCUUCAUGAACUUGCAACCAAUUUUGCUUCACCCAAGGCUUGAACCAGGGACCUCAAGGACAAGCAAAGCUCUUGCUAAGAGCUCAAAACUCUUGCAAAGAGCUUUAUUCUCUUGUCAUAAGGAAGGAACGUGCGCACACUUUGGCAAGGAAGGGAACCAAAGCUCUUGGCCAAAGCUCUUGCCAAGAGCCGAGCUUUCCCCUGGGAGGUGCACCAUGGGCCAAAAUUCAUCAAAAAUAUAAAUUAAUUCAUUUCUUCACCAAAUUUUAGAGCCCACCCAAAUUCUUAGAUCCAAAUUAAAAAGUGUAUAAAUAGGUGUUAGUUUGAUUUAGAAAAGACCUUUUUUCUCCUUCUAGAAUUUUCACUUGUAAUUUUGAGAGUUUUUCUUUGACUUUGGAUCUCUGAGUUCUAUUUUGGGGAAUUGGGAAGGAGAAUUGAUCUCUCUUCUUUCUUGUUCUUGCUUCUACACUUUUUACUCUUUGUUUUGGAUCUUGGGUGGAGAAUUGAAGAAAUUCUGUUUCAAUCUCACCUUGGGAUCUCUCUCUGUUUGUUUGUCUGCAUAAUUCAAGGAAUUGUGAUUUUGGAUUUGAAUUAUCUUUACUGCUUUAUUCUCUACUUCUCCUGCAAUUUACUUUUCUACUUCUCUGGCAAUUGUUCUUGGUUAGAUCAAGGAAGGAUUGAGAUCUAGACUUGUUCUCUAGUCUCUUCUAACCCUGAGAUCUUUAACUUCUCUUGGACCAUUGCAAUUGAGUUACAUUUUGCUUUCUGUUUGGAUUUUCAAGCAAUUGUUCUCUUCUGUUUAGAUCUGUUGCAAUUUUAUUUUAUAUCCCAUUUAUUUGUUUAAUGUCAUUUUGAUUUCUCUUGUUUAAUUUCUGCAAUCCCAACUCCCAAAUCCUUUUAUAAUUCAAGCAAUUUACAUUUCUUGCAUUUUAAGUUUCAGUUAUUUACAUUUUUUGCACUCUAAGUUUCUGUAGUUUAUAUUACUUGCACUUUAAGAUUCAGCUUCUUUACUUCCUUUGCUCUUUAAUUUACUGCAAUUCUUCCAUCUCCCUUUACAAUUCAUGCAAUUUAGCUUCUGUCAGUUACAAACCACUCAAAUCAACUCUUGUUCGCUUGACUAAAUCAACCACUAAACUAAAAUUGCUCAAUCCUUCAAUCCCUGUGGGAUCGACCUCACUCACGUGAGUUAUUAUUACUUGAUACGACCCGAUACACUUGCCGGUGAGUUUUGUGUUGGAUCGUUUUCCACACAUGAACUCACGUAAACGGAAACUUGCAUACGAAGAAGUGUAAGAUAUAUAUGUAUGAAUAAUAAAAAGGGAGUGUCAAAUAUAUAAUUAACAAAGCUUCCGAUUAAUGCAUAAGCAAUCAAAGCACACAAAUGCAUAUGAUGCAUGCCUGUCCUAUGGCUGACGAUAUCAUCUAUCAGUUAUAUAGCCAACCCGACACGUCCUGAUAGCUAACCAUGGACAGAAACACCCAUGUAGAGCAAGUGAGUUUGAGCUACAACCCUCUUGCUACUAUCCACUUAACCCAGAGUCAGUGGAAUAACCACUACUGCAGCUACUACCCAGGUGGGUGUUUAAAAGCUCAACCUGGAGCAAGCGGAAUAAUCCACUACUGCUGCUACUACCCAGGCGUCACAAUCACUAACCUGGAGCAAGCGAGAUAAACCACCAUCCUUGCUACUGCCCAGGAUCUCAAACAUACAGUCAUUCAGUUUAAAUCAAUCAUCAUAGUUAUCAAAUCUUAAACAUCAACCUGGAACAAGCGGGACGAGCUACCAUCCUUGCUACUACCCAGGGUCUCACAAACAUUCAUUCAUUUAUUACUCCAUAAUUAAAUUCAUUUCUUCAUACUCUUCUUUCCAAGUUCAUACUCGGAGCACGUGGUCAUUGCCACUGCCUACUACCUGGGGCCACAAUUACAUUUACACACUUCUCAUUCGUAAUUCACCACCCUCGAACUUUCUUCUUCUCCAAAUUACUAUUUUUUCCUACCUUCUACUCACAAUCUAACAUACAACUGAGGUUUAGAGACUAAAAGAGUGAAAAUAGAGGUUUAAAGGUUCAAAAUUACAUUUUAAAACACAAAACUCACUUUGCUGAAUUUAGCGGUCACGCGUACGCGUGGGCCACGCGUAUGCGUGAGCGUUUUUUUCUUGCUCGCGUACGCGAGAUGCCCAACCCGAAAGGGUUGGUCGUGUCGCGUGUAGUGGUCGCGUACGCAAGACCUGCAGAUUAGCAAAAAUGCUAAAUGCUGCAGAAUUUCAGCCUUACCCUCCGAACUUCCGAUGCACAUAACUUUUUCGUUUUAAAACAUUUUUCAUCCGUUCUUCGAACGGCGUAAACUUCAUGAAAUCAAUUUUCAUUUAAAAUAAUUUGAGAGCCCGGAAUCCAAGUUAUGCCUCAUCAAAGUUUGGCCAAAAACUAAUUUUUCACAAAAUCUUCCAAACCUCUAUUUUCACAAAACACAACUCAUUGUUUACAUGAAUACAACUAAACCCUGCAUCAACAACAUACCAAGCACAGCCACCACAAUCCUCAUUCUACCACAACCAACCUCAUCUGAAUGCAAAUUACUUAUUUUCAAUUAUACCAAUGCAAUUACCAAUCAUUCAACGCUCAUAUAUAUAAUUACCGUUUAUCAUUAACAAAACCCAUAUCCACAAUCAUGAAUCAUUAAUCCCUUCAAACAUCAUCAAAUAUCCACUUAAUGUCCACUAAAAUCACUAGACAUGUUCCAAAGUCAUGAUUCAACUUAUCAUAGGUCAUCUACCUUAAGUUUUCACAAAACAUUAUAUAUUAAAUACGAGAAACCAAAACCAUACCUUAGCCGAUUUUUCGAUAACCCGGAACAUCUCAAGCAUUCCCGAACCACAAGCUCCACAACUCCAGCCCCCCUCACCAACGUACCCAGCCUCCAAAGCUAAUCCUCUAGCUUCCAAUUUCUCAAAUUAAGUCCAACCGAUAACCAAUUUCAAUCUAACAACAUGAUUAUCACUAUAAUCAAUAUAGAGUUCACUAAAUCAACAUCUUACAAAGGGUUGGAGGGUUCUUACCUGACCCACAGCUCAAACAAGCUAAACCCGACAAUACUCGCAGGUUAAUUUGAACCUAAACACCGAAAUUAUACCAAUUGUUCAACAUAACACCUAUUGGAUUUCGAAAUUAGGGGAGAAGAAAUUGAAAUUGGAAAGUGAAUCCCUUACCAAAUUAGUUACUGGGUUUUGUAGAGAAUUUCAAGACGAACGCGUGGCUGUUGACGGCUCGUCAAUCGUAGCUCCGGAUCAAAAGUUACGUUGGAUUGAAAUUCAAGAGCAAGGGUUUGUUCCUCUCCCUUUGCUCUCCACCGUUCUGCACUCUCUAUCUCUCCCUUAUCUAUCCUUGAACCUUAAUGAGCUGAAAGCUCAUGGAGGAUGCUUAAAUAGGUUGGACUUUGGGCUCGGUGUGACUAGUUCGACCCGUUCGACCCAAUCUUGGGUCAAAUUCUUUAGAAUUGUGUCAAAAUUCUUGUUUUAAUUUUUUCUAUCACAUUAAAUUAUCAAAUCCCCUUUUCUAAUCACUUGAUUAAUAAUUAUUUAUUGGUUAGUUAUUUACUAAUUACUCGAAAUUUACAUAAAACAUUAUUUCAAAAAAUAACUAUAGUAAUGUACAUAGUUGACAGAAGGUGACUUAUUUGAGAAGAAAGAAUUAAACACCAAAUUCUAAUAUCUUUUUUACAUAUUGUUAUUUUUUAAUAAAAAAUAUAUUAUUAUCAUUUUGUCCAUUAAAUUUUGUUUAUAAAAUGAAUUAUUUGAGGAUAAAUAGUGUCUAAACAUAUUGGAUACUAAAUUUUAAUAUUAACUUUAAAAUAUAAAACGUUAUUAUUUCAGACUGUUAAUGGCAUUCUUUUAAUUAAAAAAAAAGAAAAAAAAAAUAGUAUUACCAUUUUUCUCCAUUAAAUUUAGUUUAUGAAAUGAAUUAUUCAAGGAUAAAUAGUAUCUAACAAAAGUUGGAGACUAAAUUUUAGUAUUUUCUUUAAAAUAAAACAUUAUUUUAGAGAAAAACGAUACAUAAUUUACAAGUAAUUUUAAGUUAUAGUGGUAAGGAUAAAAUAAGAAAAAAGAAUUAGACACCAAAUUCUCAUUUCUCCUCUAUAUAUUGUUAUAGAUGUUAUAGAUAUACACUCCAAUAUUACUAAUUUAAAGAAUUAUAUAAGUCUAUCNNNNNNNNNNNNNNNNNNNNNNNNNNNNNNNNNNNNNNNNNNNNNNNNNNNNNNNNNNNNNNNNNNNNNNNNNNNNNNNNNNNNNNNNNNNNNNNNNNNNNNNNNNNNNNNNNNNNNNNNNNNNNNNNNNNNNNNNNNNNNNNNNNNNNNNNNNNNNNNNNNNNNNNNNNNNNNNNNNNNNNNNNNNNNNNNNNNNNNNNNNNNNNNNNNNACUAAUAGAAAAGUAAUAGAUCAAAAUUAUACAAGAAAUUAAUGUUUUUUCCUAGGAAAUUAGGCCAAUACCAGGGGCGAUUUAUUAGAAAAUAACAUGAAAUAACCUAAACAAUUACUAAAAUUAUAAAUAGAUGAGAAAUAGAUCAGUUCAGCAAAUAGAAAUACCUCAGUCUCCAAAUGAAAAAUUUUAGGUAACCAAUACUUUUUUUUUAUAUAUAUUUUACCUAGUAUUUGAGUCAACUCUCAUUAUUUUAUCUUUUUUUACUAAAAUUUUAAGAUUUAAUUACUCUGUUGGUUUUUAUAGUUUUGCGAAAUUUUUAAUUAGGUCCUUAUACUUUUUUUUUCUUUUAAUUGGGUCCUUACACCAAAUUUUUUUUUCAAUUAGGUCCCUCUUGACAAUAAUUGACUUAAUUUUAUAGGGACCAACUAAAAAAAAUUAGUACAAAGACCCAAAUGAAAGGAAAAAAAAGUGUAAAGACCCAAUUAAAAAAAAAAUUUGGUGCAAGGACUCAAUCAAAAGGAAAAAAAGUACAAGACCUAAUUAAAAAUUUCGCAAAACUAUAGAGACUAACAGAGUAAUUAAACCAAAUUUUAAAAUUGUUCGCCUAGCCUUCCUCAAUAUUAGUAAUGAGAAUAACAAAAACUAACUAAUGCCAUUAAAAUCUUCAGAAAGAGUUUGCAGUUAUGUUGGUGCAAAUCAACCAUGGCUUGGCUUCUUAAUUAAUUAUCUUCCUUUGGCCUAAAUUCAAUUCCUUCAAUGAUGAGACCACUCUUUAGGACACCAGCCUCAGUUUCCACCACACUCAUUUGAACUUGUUCAUCUUCUGUGCUCGAAACGAAAAACACCCCAAACUCAAUCUCCAACCAGGGAUUACCUCUUAGAUUUGGAAGCUGCCGUACCCCGUCUGAUUCUGGAUCAAGAAUCACAUUCUUGGUGCUAGCCUCACCACCUAGCAUGCCUAUUGAUAACUCCACAGGACAGUGUUGAAAUCCAAUUCUGUCUUCCUCCAUGCUAAACACAAGAUAAGCUGCAUAGUGAGUAUUUGGGGUUAGGACAAGGGUACUCAACACCCCGCGAAUCUCAAGCCACCACACAUGUUCCAGUCGAGCAACUUCUGAGAACCUGUGUAUAUAUUGAAGUUGCAAAAAAUGGUAGAUUUCCAAACAAAGCAGAGUAAUUAUGUUUCAUGGUAAAGUAGUAUGAUUUGACAAAUGAGAAAGUGACAUGUUAGUUAACAUUAAAUGAGUUUGAUCAAUUAAAAAAUAGUACUCUACUUUUCUUUUUAAAUGGUUUAUGGUCAUAUUUCAUCAUGAAAUAUAAAAAUACUAAGACUGUAUUUGGUUAUUGUCUCAAAUUAUGAAGACAUAGACACAAAUACACAAGAGUACAUAAACACAAAAAUUCAGCCUAACAAACACUAAUCUCCAUCAAUCCAAACAAAGAAUGAGCUAUCACCCCAUCCAAGAAAAAGAACACCACAAAUAAACUUAAAUUCCAAAUUCAAUAUUUAUAAAUAAUUUUUUAAUAUCAUCCCAAUUGAAUAAUACAAACAUAUUCAAAAUUUCUAUUAAAAAAAAUUCAAACAAAUACAAAUUAAAUCUGAGAUAGAACAAGGCACAGAGUAGAAGAAAGAAAAGAAAGAGGUAAAGAAGGAUGAAAAGAAGAUGAAGAUGAGGAGAGGUGGAAGAAGGGCAGGAGCGACGAGAAAAGACCAGACCUAUAGUGAGAUCUGUGGUUGCUUCCGCUGUAGAUAUGUAGUUGCUGCCGCUACUAGAGAGAGGAAGAACGAAAUGAGAGAAGGGGGGAGGGGAGGACGCGACGAAGGAGGAGAGCGUCUCCAUCAUUACGGUAGUCGCCGCUACCGCUGUUGAUGCUGACCGAAGGGUGAGGCAAAGGGACCUUCUCCUUAACUGUGAUGCCGCCAAGGAGAAGACGAACAGCGCCGCCAGAGAGAGGAUGGAGGUCAAUGCUGUCGAAGCCCAAAGUCGGGAAACAAUAGUGUACAGAGUAUGGAGGCUAGAAAGAGAGAGGAAAUGAAGAAAUGAUGAAGAAUGGGGAAUUAAGUUAAAGAUGCUACGGAAUUACAAAAAUAUUGAAGGGAUAAAAUUGUAAAAAUUUCAGUGUCUUAAACUAAAAAUUAAUGUCUCAACUAGUUGGAGAGACACAGAAUAUGUUUUUUGUGGAUAUCUCUAUGUAAGCGUGUCUCUUGUUUCUGUGUCUCACAGUCCAAACAAAGAACGCAAUCUAUCAUGUCUCUGUUUUUGGCAUGCACAGACAUCAACCAACCAGUGCCUAAAUGACCAUAGAAAGCACAGCAAAGUAUGUAUGGUUUCAUUUGUUUACAGGCACGGGACACUGAGACAGAGAUACAGAGAUAUAAAAUUAUGUUUGACAAAUGAAACAUGUAUAAAGACAUUGUGUCUAGAGACAUUAAAUUAGUGUAUUUUGUAUCCAUCUUAACAGGAAGGAAACAUAGACAGUAACAAGAGACACAACUUAUUUUUUAUUUUUUCUUUCAUUAUUCUUAUUAAUUUUUCAUAAUUAUAUUUUUUAUUAUUAUAUUUUUCUUCUCAAAUUUUUUAAAUGAAAAAAAAACUUUCAUAAUUUAUUCUAGUUUAUUACCAAACAAAAUACAAGCACACUAACUUUUGUAUAUCUAUUCUUUAUGUCUUAUUCUUCGUGUCUUGUCUUAUUUUGAACAACUAAGAAUUAUAUUGAGAUGCGUCUUUAAAACAGGUAUGAUAAAUUGAGAAUUAAAGAAUUAUAGAGAAUUUGAAGGACAAUUUUACACAGGAAAAAGAUAUAAGAGAAGAAUUCUAAUUCAACAUCACAUAGAUUGUGUAAAUACAUCCCCUCUUCCCUCUAUCUCGAUUACUUUUAAAGACAGAAAUACAAAGAAAUUAUGUCCGAAGACAUCAUCUUGUUCUUCUCUCAAAACACAUUUUUAUGUCUCUAGGUCAUUAGAAGAUAAUACAAUUAUUAAUUGACCCUUCAUACUAAUUCCCAGUUGUUUUUUUCAGGGAUCAGCUUCUAAUUUUUUAAACACCAAAUUGAUGCAUGUGAUUGAUUUUAAGAGACCAUUUUGACCAUUAAUCCAAUUUUUUCCCCUCUACUUGCAAUGGGAUUAAGUUAGGGUCUUUAGGUCCAUUCAUGUUACAUUAUUCAAAAAUAAAAGAAAAAAAUAAAAUCAAAUAAAAUAAGGAAAACAAUUUCAAGGGAUGACCUGGACUCUUCCAAGGGUAUCCAUUCCCAGUAUCGAGGAGUGUCACCCCAAACAAUGGUCAGAGCUCUAGCAGCUAGCAUGUAGCACUUUUUCCCACUCUUUUUGUCCAAUUGAAAGCUCUGCAGUCAAAAUAUUGUGCAUAUUUGGAUAAGUAAAGCUUUUAUUAUAAUUAAAAACGCUUUAUCCCCGUAUUUUUGCUAAACAUAUAGGGGGAUUUCUUUACAAGCAAGAAGCAGUCACAUAUAAAACUGCAACACUCUUUUUAGGUCCAAAUAAUAUCAAAAUUAAGGGUUUGAUUGUGACAAGUGAAAAGCAAAUAGAUCUGAUAGAAAAGGAAAGCCUUAAAAGCUGAAAAGGACACGAGUUAAAAAGAGUGCACCUGUACGGCAACCAGCUUCGUUAAAAACAAGCAAAGGAUUCUUGCGAUAUUUGAACGUAAAAUUAAACACUGAUAUGAUGAAUUGAUGGUAACUUAAUGGAAUUGCAUAUUAGAAUUAAAGGGGGAAAAUGAUUAGGAGUUCCCUGGCUCUAUUGAACAGCAUAGCGAAGAUGACAAAAGGAAGACGAAAUUACCAUUUUGCCCUUGUCGAUGACGGUUGGGCGAUCGGAGAGGGCGAGAUAGAGGGAUUUAUUGGAAGUAGAGAGUGAGAUCAAGGAAGAGUGAGAAUGAGAGUGGGAAACGAGGGAAACGACAUCGGAAGGGAGGAAACGACCCCAGACAUAGUCAGAAUCAGCGGCGGAUUUGAAGAGCUUGGAAACGGCGCAGAGCCUGCAUGCGUCUUUGGGCGUGGUGCGAGCAAUAAUGUUCGCGAUGCAUCCCUCCGGUAACUCCAUUUUUUUUUUUGUCAAGUCGAUUAGUUAGUUGCCAUAGAUAGAUAUUGGUAGUAGUACUCUAAAUUUAUAUGAAAUAAGUUUCUCUAUUAUUUUUUCAUUUUUUAAUACCAAUAAAUACUUUUCAUNNNNNNNNNNNNNNNNNNNNNNNNNNNNNNNNNNNNNNNNNNNNNNNNNNNNNNNNNNNNNNNNNNNNNNNNNNNGUAUAAAUAUUAAGAACAUCAUUUAAUUUUAUUGAAAAUAGAAAUAAUAAAAAAAAAAAGAAAAAUCAAAAUAUGUUUAAUAUUAUGUUUUCAACUAAAUAACUGUUUUGUCCCUAAAAUUUAUUUUGGUAUUCGAAAUUUAAAGUUAUCUAUAAUGAUCUUUUAGAUUUAGGUCUGGACACUAAUUUGGUCUCUUGACCCUUUCUAACAACGACUUAGCAAAUGGAAUAUUGAAGUAAUAUUUUCUUUGCCACACUGGACACUACAACAGCUAAUUGACGCGGCAAAAUUCGUAUUCAUACCCAAUGUGGUCCUUUAAACCCUAAUUUCUUCCAUUAUUUAUCUUGAGUUCGAUUCUUCUCCAACCUCCUUCCUCUUGUUUUUGUAUUCGUCUUUAUCUUCUUGUUAUUGUUGUUUUUUUCCUUGUUGAAGCUUUAUUAUUCGUCGCUAUUAGUUGAGGCACCAAGAUGAGUGGUAGAAGUAAUGCAGCAGGAAGCUUUAUUUGCUCUCCUUCAAGCGGUAACUGGACCAGGUCGCAAAGUCAAAGCAGAAGUGCGAGGGUGUCGAAAUGGUGUGGGUAUGACUGUCGUCCAGUUCUACGAUGGUCUGGAACAGAAUCAAAUCCAAACAAGUUAUUAUUUGGAUGUCCCAAUUAUAAUGUAAGUUAAACAUAUGAUUAUUUUGUGAGUUCUUGUCUGCUUUGUUCAUUUCAUGUUUGGCUGGUUUAUUUCAGAUAAGAAGAAAGACUUGGUGUGGUAUAUUUGUUUAGGUUGAUAUUGGACAAGAUGAAGGUGUUGGGAUAGCAGAUUCUGAUAGAGCCAAUGAUAAAAUGAAUAUGAACCUAGCAUAAAGGGUUGGGAGGUUGGAAAGCGAUGUAAGGAGUAAAAAUUCAUGACCUAUUUGUUAUUGCUAGUUGUGUCUAUGAUGGUGGUGUUUUUGUUAGUCAUAUAUUAUAGAAUUUGAAGAAAAAGUUAUGAGCAAAAAUUCAUGUGUGUUGUAAUAUAAUGUAAUGGAAGGUUUAUUAUGUAAUAAAUAUUUCAAUGAAAUGAAUAGUUUGAUUUAUGCAACUCCUGUGAUUAACACAUGAUUCAACAGCAUUGCAAAAAAGAUAGAUAAACUAACAAAGCUAAUUAUAUUUAAGUAAUUAUCAUAGUUCAACAAAAAAGAUGUAGAAACAAGUAUCAUGAGUAUUAGUUCCAAAAGAUCCAGUGUAAUAUCAAAAUAACCAUAUCUUAAGAGGGUUGGUCUAAGCAGUCAUUGUCUAAAUUUUAACAAAAUAUUAAAGACCUAGUGUCAUAGCCUAAUAUUCAUAACCUCUCUAAAUACAUUAAAUUAAUUUCUUCAAAUCUUCUUCCUUGGUGCUUUAAAACCGAGAGUAGAGACGAACUUUGUAACGACUUAGCCCCAAAGAAAUGUUGCUUUUUCGGGAUCAAACGAAAAUUUUAUGGAUUUUUUAGGAAUUUCAGUGCAUAUAAGUACCUCUACUGCACAGGUGUUGUGCCAUCAAACUGCUGAAUCAGUAGCUUGACUGCAUCAGGCACCUCUCUUGAUCUAAACAGGCACGUCACAAAAAGUUACAUUUUUGAGCCACUUCAGGUCCAAAUUUCAAAAUUCUGAUUUCUGUGGUUAGUUUCUAUGUGAUGAGCCGAUCUUGAAUUUUGAGAGAAAAAUUAUAUUAAUAUAAUAUUUAUAUAUUAUUAUUUUAUUCAGAAUGUUAUAUUAUUAUUUUUUCUACUAUAAUUAAUGUUGAUCUAUGUUUAGUAAUACAAUAACUGAGUUAGAAAUCUACCGGUAAUGGAUAAUACCUGCAUUCUUAGAUGAACUUAGCGAUGCUAAUGCUUUAUCAUAUAUCUUUUAUUCUCAUGAUUAUCUUGUUACUAGUAUCAUUUAUAUUAGUAAAGCUCAUACUUAUCCUUUAGUAGUAUAAUCUAACAUAUCUAGUUUUAGUAAUUAUCUUCAGAAUGAUCUUUUUUUAUUAAAUUUUGAUGAGUCAUCACCUUAUAACAUAUGGCACUCUCAGAACCAGCCACCACAUGCUUCAUUUCUUAUUCUCCAAGCAAAGGUUUCUUAAGGGAAAAAUAAAAAACACUUGUGUUCUAAUACAUCUAACUUUAGUAAUUAUACUUUCAUAAGAUAUUUUUAUAAAAAAAAUCUAGGAUAAACUCUAUCCUAACCCCACGGCUCCUAAGCUCAUUAUUACCAUCAUUCUUGCUUCCAAGACAAGUUAGAAUUCAUGAGAGAAAACGGAAGAACUUCCAUGAAAGCUUCAAACUUCAACCUCCGUUCUUUCUCAAACUAAAAUCCCUAUCAAAAAUCUAAUCUGACCAAACUAUUCACCUCUUCCUCUUCUUCAUUUCUAUGUCAAUUUUCAUGGAGUAAAUCAAGGUAUGAUGGCUGCUCCUCCCUCCUCUAAGUUUUGGCUAUGGUGAGAAGUCAAGAUAACCAUGUUUUUUUCAUGUUUUCUCUUAGGAUCUCUUGUUCACUCACCAUAAGCUCUAAGAAAACGUGAUUUCUAGCUGCCUUGAGGUAAAAAAAUCUUUCUUUUCAUCAUCGUGAAGCUUCAUUCUUCAUGGUUUAUAUAGUUCUAAAGUUAUUUUUUAUGUUAAAAUAUGCGUAAAAGUGCUUUUUGAAGUUUGUUCUUGGUUCAACUUUUGACAGCUGCAAAAGAGAUAAAGUUUGAUAAAUUAAUCAAUGAUUGGUUGUAUUCUUGAAGUGUAAAAUCAGAUUUUGUUCCUUUAGGCUUGAUUUUGAGUGUUUAUGUGAUGUUUUGAUCAUGAGAUCUUGUUGUUUUAAUGCUUGAAAAUCAAGUUAUUGAAGGUUGUGAAGUUGUUGUUGUUGAUGCUGAAAAACGUGGCAUUACAGCCAUGAUUUUCAAGAGAUUUGAUGUGUGUUUGAUGUGUAUUUGAUGGCUGAAACGUUGCUCUUUGGUUUGGUGAAAAUCAAGUAAAAAUCGGUUAUCGAAAAGAUUGAAAAACUAGCUGAAAAUCAGAUAAAAAUAUGAUGAAUUUUUGAAAAAAAAAAUGAUUUUGGUUGUUGAAAGACAAGAAGAACAUUUGGUUUUGUGGAUUUUGGGGUCAAAUCAUAAUUAUUGAAAAGUUUGGGGUUUAAAGUUAAUUAAAAAAAGUUGAGGGGCUAAGGUGCAAAUAUUAAAAGUUAAGGAAGUCAAAAUACAAUUUUCAAAAAGUUCAGGGGUCAAAAUAUAAUUUUUGAAAGUUGAAUAAAAUAUUAUUAUUUUAAUAAUAAAAUAUUAUUAUUUUAAUAAUAAAAUAUUGAUAAAAAGACAGUUUUCUCUGAAAGCCUCAGGAAGGCAGAUUUGAGUCCAGAAUUCUCUAAUUUCCUGGUAUAAGAGAAGUUAUUAAGGUAUGUAAGGUAAUGGAAAAGAAUUUAGAAACUUAAAAUUUGAAAAUAUAUUAGGAAGAAAAGGAGUUAAAAGCUAUAUAGUAGUGUGCUUAACCUUACAGAGUAACCAGAGAAUUAUGAAAUGAGAUCACUGAGAUGUUGUGAUGCUUGAUAUAUGAUUGUGGAAAGAUGAUAAAGAUGAUUGCUAAGUGACGGAAAGUAUGGUUAUAUGUGAUUUAUGAGCCUUCGGGCGAUGCUUGAGAAUAUUGUGUGGAGACGCACCGUAUUGUGCUGUUGCUUCCCAGACAGGCUGCGGUAAAGAGAGUACCAGCCCUGCAAGCUGAAUGCUUGAUAGAGGCCUGACUAGCAUACCUACGGUAUAUUGAGAUUUGAGCAAAUACCAACCUUGCAAGUUGAGAGUACUUGGUAGAGAGUAUGUGGUACUUAAUCUGGGAUUUAGUUCUGGGAAGGCCUUAUCUGACCUAGAGGGUCGGAUUGCGUCGGGUGCGGGUUAAAACCGACAAAUGAGCUCAUUACCUGCAGUAGGACCAGACAUGCAUCAUACUUGUUGCACAUAGCUGUGUGACUGCAUAUUGAGUGUGAUUGUGCAUAUGUCUCUUGUUUCUUCUGCUAUUUGUGUUUUGGCUAUACUGUUGUUAUGUAUAUAUAUUUUUGUCUGAACUUAAUUAUGGUUAUGUGGUCACGGACGUUAUAAAUGAACUUAACUCUAAACCCCGACCUUACUAAGAACUCCCCAGUUCUUACCCCUUACACCUCUUCAGAUGGACACGGGAGUCCUGCUCUACGAGAUUAAUCAUCCGUAUAUCCACGACGACCUAGUGCGCGCCUGCGAGUAUUACAUCUAUCGUACGGCACCUUGUGUAUGAAAUUAUGUAGUACGUGGUAGACCUUUUCAGCAUCUUAUUAGUACACCUUUUUUUGAAUCUCGAUGUACCCUAUAACUUUUCUCCUUCUUGGAUGCAACCUGAGGAGGACCCCGAGAUCGUAGAUAUCUCUUGUGGCAGUAAUGAGCCAGAUGAGUCACCAGCGAGUGAGAAUCAUCACCUGCCCAAUGAUUUUCUGUGAGGGGCUUUUGGAUCAGAAACAGUACGUUAGAGUGUUUCCCUCACUUUUGCUAGUAUGCUCAGAGAGAAUAGGCAUGUCGUAGAGUUAGGCUAGCUUGGGUGCCAGUUUAGGGGCUUUUUGGACGGGUCUGGCCCUGAGGCGUCUUAUGUACAUAUAUGUAUAUAUUAUAUAAGUGACUAACUAAGGAAUGCUAUAUCAUAAUUCUGUACUUGUAUGAUUGAACUACUUUUGUUUCAUGAUAUAUAUUAUAUUGUGAUGUUUUAUAUAUUGCCUUCUAUUAAUCUAUGAUUGCGUAUGCUUAUAUUUUCUUAUAUAUUAUAUGUAUGCGACCCUAAAUUACUAUUGUUUUAAAGAAAAAAAUACUCGAAAACUCGCGAGGUGUUAACAAUGAACAGACUUAUAUUUAUUAAAUAUUACUUAAGUUGGGAAAAACGAGUUGGUAACGUUCAGCUUCUAGUAUGAUCAUGACAUGCUGGGAGUUGGGCCGUUACAAACUUCAUGAUUUUUGCCAUUCUUAAUGCUAUUCCUGAGCUACCACCCUACAACGGAUUGAUUGUGGCAAAACUUGGCGAUGGAGAACUUUUUCUUCUUAUCAGUAACGUUGUAGGCCGUAUGUUUUCAGCAGCCUAUAUGGUGUAAAACAUUAUGUUUCAAGGUCAGAAUACUGUAAUAGCUUAUGACAUAAUAAUAUCAUGUACAUCUUUAUCUUCUAAGAGUCGUCUAGUUCAGAGUAGGUAGGUUGAGACAACUCAAUUUCGACCAGUUGGACAUUGGUGGCUGUUGUAGUAACAGGUGAUUCAUCAAUUGGUGAUACAUUUUCUCCUUCCACUUCUUUAUUGGUUCCAUCAGAGGUAGCAAUACAUGUUUAAUUUGUUGGUUGUGCACUUUUUUCUUCACCCUCUUUCUUUUUUACAGCAACCUCAGCAAUAGCAGCAGCAUCAGCCAAUCUCUUCUUUUUGCAACCCCUCUUAGUGUGACCCUUAUUGUAAGAUUUCGAAUUUUCAAAAAUUAAAUAACGAGUUAUUUGUAAUUUAUUAUAUUUAUUCAUAAUUUUAUUUUUAGAAAAUUAUUUUACAAAAAGUAAUUAAAUCAAAGUUAUGAAGGUUGUCUUACAUGAUAUAUCAUGGCUUGUGGCUGUCAUUAGGGUUGCUGUUGCAAUUUACACUUUUCUUGUUUGUAAUGAUGAUAUAUAGGUAAGUGGCAAUUUGAGUGUAAGAUCUAGGCAUAAAUUGGGUGCAAAUUGAGGCACUAUAUGCUAGUAAAUAGGGGUGUUCGCGGUGCGGUUUGGUUCGGUUCGGUUAUUUAGGAAAAAACCAUUCGAUCCGAUCGUUUAUUAAAUUUGCGGUUCGGUUUGGUUCAGUUUUUUUGCUGAGACCAUCCAAACCAAUUAAAAUCGAUUUGGUUUGGUUCGGUUUAUUCGGUUUUUUUAAUUAUUCAAAAAGAUUUUAAAUAAACAAAAAAAUAAAAAAAAAACUACAUUUAACAGAGACCAAACCCUAAAUUCAUUAUAAGAUACAAAUGUCCCAAUUUCACAUACCCUAGCCUCAAUUUCACAAACCCUAGAAUCUAACUCGAUCCAAAUUUAUCAAUUACAGAAUUCAAACCCUAAACCUAAUCCUAAUUUUACAUUAACAGAAUUCAACCCAUAGCAAUUUCAUCAAUCAAAAAUCAAAACAUGUAUUAAAAUCAUUGACAACGGAGGAACAGAGGUAGACCAGAGGCAGAGGUGGUGGUGAAGCUGUGAGCACUGAGCAGGACGCAGUGAGCAACAAACUGCAUAAUUAUGCAAUUCACAAAAUCACAAAAACAGAAUUAAAGAUCACCUGUAAAAACAAAAUCAUAGAAAAACAAAAUGAGCAAUCAAAAUAAAAUCAUAGAAAAAUAGAUGCAGAAGCACAAAAAGCAAAAUCACUAACAGAAUCAUAAAACAGAAUUAAAAAUAAAAAAUAUAAACACAGAAUCAUAGAAAAAUAGAGGCAGAAGCACAACAAAAUAAAAUCACCAACAGAAUAAUAAAAACAAAAAUUGAAUACCUAACUUGGAGGCAAUGUCAUGGACGACGACGGCGCCUGCUUGUGCGUGGAGGAGACGGUGGCUCCAGUGCAAGGAGGCUAGAGAGACACGGCGUAGAGGAGACAGCGGCUGCAGUGCAUUGAAGACGACGAACGAAGGGAGAAAAAGAGCCGCACCGAGGAAGGGAGGGACUGAGGGAGGACCGCGCUGAGAAGAUGGAACCACGACGAGGAAGGGCCGCCGCGAAGGUGCUGUCCGCGAUUCCAGGGGCUGAGAGGACGACGACUUUGUGAACGGUGGGAAGAGAGUGUGGAGAAUGGGGAGUGGAGAGAGUUAGGGAAUAGGGGCUUUAUACGGUGAAUGGCGGCUAGGUCAUCUAAAGGGAAGGGGGUUUCACUUAUUUAUACUAGGGUUUUUAAAUAAACCGAUUCGGUUUGGUUUGGUUAGGGUUUUCACUAACAAAAUCAAAAACCAAACCGAACUGCAAAAAAAUAGCAAAAAAUCAUUUUUUUCGGUUUUUUUGAUUUUCAGUUUAUUCGGUUUUCGGUUUUUCGGCUCGGUUGAUCGGUUUUGUUUGGUUUGGAUCGAUUUUGAACACCCCUACUAGUGAACAUCGAUGUCAUGUUUGAAUAGAAUGAGUUGUUAGCAUCUUAUUUCAUCUUUAUUGAACUUGAUUAUGAGUAAUUACUAUAUUUAGCUAUCAAAUAAAGCAUCAUAAAGUUCAGUAAUUACUAAUAUAAUUAGCAUCAGGAGGUAAUAAUAGAAUGCAUAAGUCAACAAUAAAUGAUGCAUAAUUAUGAAGCUUGAGGGAGUCACAACAUCACCACCUUCUUUACUUAUAGUUGCCUCUUUUGAAACUUGAUCAUCCUCUUCAAUAACUUUUGGGCUUUUGGCAAGCAGAUUGGGUGUUCAAUGUACACACAGACCCUACUUCCAUUCCUCAAUGCAACUUUAUACAACUAUAUUAUGUCCUUAGACCACCAUCAACCUCCAUUCCAGGUACUAAUCAAUAGCGUUCGCUGACCAAAGUGUAUCCAAUAUAUCUAUGGAGAUCAAUAAUAAAAAAUUUAUUCAAAGUGUCAACAUUAAUCCUUGGAAUUUCAGAUUUCUCACCACCUUCAUACACGAUUUUUACAUCCUUUGUUCUCUCAAAUUUUUCUCUAUGAUAUAUCUCUAAAGUAAUAUGCAAUGUAGCUAUCUCUGUAACACAAUAAAAGGUCUAACAUUAGUGGCCAUCUCACAAACUAUGAACUAGUGAAAUUCUAACUCUGUAAAUUCACCAUGAUUAUGGUUUCAGACACAAUAAACACAACAAUAUUCCAGCCACAAAAUAAUAUUUAGCUUAAAUAAAAGGAUCAAAUAGGAUUCAGUUACUGAAAAACUAAACCCUACCAAAAAUUCAUUAACAAUAAUAAUUCAAUCUUUGAUAUGCGACAAAAAAUUCUAACAAAUUAGAGGUUACAAGGAAUCAAUAAUUUUGGUUGUGAAAGGAUUACCUCUUCAAUGACUUUGACUGUGAGAUCACUCUCGUACAGAGUCUCCUGAAGCAACUGCAACUAAAAACUACUCUGUUAUGACAUGGUUGAGUUUCGCGCUCAAGAGGUGAUGCCUACUAUUCUGUGCUUAACUGGAAUUUGAAGGGGUUACUAAUUUUUUAUUAUUUAAAUAAAUACAAUAUACAUAAAAAAAAUAAUAAAUGAUCCACUUAAGAAAGCUCUCUUGCCAUGUUAGGAUGGAAAUGAACACGUGAGACAUGAGAGGGAAAUAGAUCCUCUCCAUUUUUUUAAUACUUGAGAAAAUAAAGUGUGAUCUCUCACCUUUUAUUCUAUAAGUGGGACCAAAAUUAAAUAGGAGAGAGAGAAAAAGCAAUGAAGGGUGAAAUCCUACACCGGACACCAUCUAGUUUUUUUUUUUCACUGGAGAGGAUCCACUCCCUAUAAACAAAGCCUUCUAACGUUUUGGUCAUAUUUGACAAAUGGAACUAUAUAACUGUGGAUAUUUGGGUGUUGUUUUCUAAAUUUAUGGGUACUCUUAUAAGCAAAUACAUCUUUUAUGGGUACUUUUGGUAGUUUAAUCUAAAUUUUGAUAUCAUAAUUUAGAAUAAAUCUCAAUUUUAAAAUUUUUAUUAAAUUAGACAAUUUUAUAAUUUUAAUUAUAUUAUAAUUUUAUUUUUGUGUAUUUAAUUUAUGGAUAAUAUAUAUUUUUUGUUUUUAAAGUCUGUCAAAAUUUUUAAAAAUAUUCCUAAAUUUUUUUUUGUUUCAAUUUUGUCUUUGGAAUUUUCGAUUUGUAUCAAAUAUAUCCUUGACAGCUAAAUUUUCAAAAAGUUUAGGACCAAUACAGUAAAAAUGUAUGACAACUAUGUUUGAUUUGCAUGUGUUGAAGGUUGUUAUUGUAAAAUUGUUGCUAAAUUGAUUCUAAAUUUUUUGAAGAAUUAACCACUAUGGAUAUUGAGUUUGAAAAAUAAAUAACAUAUUGAUGAUGACAAACAUGUUGAUUUAGGUUAAUAACCCAAGUGGAUUUUUGAUGAUAUAAUUCAAAGUAUGCACGCUCAAAUUGUCUUUAUUGCAGCCUAAACCAAUGAAACCAAAAGCUUCUAAGGGUAAAGAAUGAAAUUGAAUCAAACCAAGCCCAAUGCUAAUCAAGUCAAAGGGAAGCAACCCUAAGCUAAGGCGAAGUAAACACUAGAAGAGAGGGAGCUUCACUUUUGUAUUCAAACACCAAAGAAGAAGAAAGGAAAAGCUAAUCAAGAAAGCUAAUGUCAAAUCAAGUUAAUCAAAAGCAUGUUAAGCAAGUUCAGAGGUUAAAGGUAAUUUAUUUCCAUUUGCAUGCAAGUCAAUUACUUCGCAUUUUUUUCUUUUUUCUGCACCACCAUUUUGGACAAGAUGAAGAAAGUGGUGGCUGAAUUUUCUCCGCUGUAAAUCAAUGGCUUACAUCGUUUCUUGGAGUCAAAGCACAAUUUUAAGGGUGUGAAUUUGGGAACCUCACUGAACAAACAAUUUGCUGCUGCAAUCAUCUCUUCGAUUAAGCCCAAAUCAGAUUUCAAAUUCCUAAUUUUGUGGUCUGAAUUAAGAAAAAGAUAAAAGGGAUUACAGUUAGUUCAAGGACUAAGAAGUUGACCUUUGUAAAAAAAAAUCCUAGCCAUAGCUCAAAGAAGAUACAAAAAGAAAAAAUAUUUUCAUUUUAAAGACAAGGAUAGAGAACCCGAAUUGGAGAGUAGAGUGAAAUCUCACAACAGAGUUUGAAGUCUUGGAAGCAUUGCACCUACACUAAAGGGAGCACUCUACCAAGAUGAAGAACAACGUUUUGAGUUCAGAAGUUGGGUCAGCGCAUAGAGUCAAGACUGUGAAUCAUCAUCUCCUCCACAGUUUACUGUUUGUAUUUCUGUUUCAAUGUUAUAUCUUUCUUUGUAUUCAUGCAGAGAUAAAAAGCAAGAAAGAGAGGCAUUGAGAAAAAGUCAUUGAGAGAAAAGACGGAGAGAAAUACUUGGAGAGAAAAGCCAAGAGUGAUUUCGGAUUUCUUUUGGUUGUAUUUCUAUUUUCUGUCAUGUACUUGAAAGGUAUCCCUUGCUAAGUUGGGUAAGCACAUAAUAUGUUGAGUCUCGGUAGUUACAUAGCCAAGUUAAGUUUAUGUUGAAGCUUGAUGCGUCUCUGAUAGGAUUAUGUUGAGUUCAUAAAAAUUGGUGUAUGUAAUACUUGGAAAGAUAGUAAAAAUUCUACCAACAUUGUAGUAGAGACUGGAUGUAAAUUGCAUUGCACUAGACAACUGAACUAUGAUACAUGGCUAUAUUAUCUUCUUCUUCCCUAGCCAAAUUAUAAGUUCUGGUUUGAGGCUUUGUUAAUCAAGUUAAAAGAAGGCCAUAGCCUAUAAAUUCAACCCCCUCUUUAGGCCAUCAAGAACUUUUAGGUAUAUUUGAUGCAAAUAAAAAAUUUUUGAAAAAAAUUAAAAUAAAAUAAAAUUUAAGAAUAUUUUAAAAAUUUUUAACAAACUUCAAAAACAAAAAAUAUAUUUUAUUCUUAAUUUAUUUUUUUAAUUUUACAUAAAAUCUCAAUUUUUAAUUUUUUUUGUUACUACAAUUUGAUUUCAAAUUAAAGAGAAUUAGAAUAUUCUCUCUCUUUCUUUUUUUUUUCUAUAUAUCUAUAACAAUAUAUAAUGUGAGUACAUGGAGUUUAAUAUCCAAUUUUCUUUCCUAUUUUAACCCUGCAAACAUAAUUUAAAACUAACUUUGCAAACGGUUACAAAAAAUUUAGGCAUAAUUUCUUCCUCAAUCUUCACUCAAAUAAUCUACUUUUUUUUUAAUUUUUUACUAUUUCUCUAAUUUUAUUUACUUCUCUUAUUCAACUCUAACAUUUUCAAUUUUUGAAUAACUUUUUAGAUAACUUCUUAAAAUAGAUGAUGACCAUGUCAAAUGUUAAUUUUCGAGCCAGGUAUGAAAAGAAGAAAAGAAUAAUUAUGAUGAAAGGAAGUGUUUAAUCAUCAUCAAUAGUUAUAAGUAAUUUUUGAUAGAUCUUAUUAUAUUUUGAGAUAUUCAAUUAAAUUAUAUUUUGUUUAAUUUUAUGUUAAUUUUAGUUUGUACCGUUUUGUUGUGAGUAUAUUGUACUUCUGAUCAGCAGUUUGGUUUCGCUCUAAUUAUUCCAUUAGAGGUUUUGUUGUAAUUUCUUAAAAAACAUUACCAUUUUUGUAUUUCUAUUGAUGUCUCUUUUCUCCUUCCUUCAACACACUCUGUUAGUCCUUUACCUUGCUUUGCUGCGGUUAUAAAUUUUCUUUUUCUUCAAUUUACUUAUUUGAUCUAUAUUUUCAGUUAUUUCUCAAAUAUUUUAAUUUAUUUUCAAUUUUUCACGUAGAAAAAUAGCAUUAUAUCUUUUUCUCGCAUCAAUUUGAUUUAGCAAGAAAAAAAUUUCUUUAUAUCUGAAUAUGUAUUUUUUAUUUAUUUUUUUAACAUAUCUUUAUUUAAUUAUUUAUCNNNNNNNNNNNNNNNNNNNNNNNNNNNNNNNNNUAAGUUUUAAUUUAUUAUCUUUUUAUAUAUCUUUUAUUUUUUGAAUUAUUUUAUUUUAUUAGGUAUUUUAUUUUAUUUUAUUUUAUUACUUUAAAAAUUUUAAGGUCUAAAAAUCUCUUAUUUAAACGAUUCCAACUAUAUAAUUAAAAAGUGGUUCAAGAGAAUAGGUUUAAACUUGGACAAUUUAAUAUUUACUAAUGGAUAACUAUUAGAAGAGAAAAAUUAUUGCAUAAAUAAUAAAAAUGAGUUGAUAAUAUAUAGACUAAUUUGAACAAUAAAAAAAAAGUAAAAUAAGUAACAAAAAUAAGAUAUAGAAUUUUAUUUUUUAUUAUAUGGUACAAAGAUAAUAUACAAUAUAAUAAAUCAUAAUCUUCUCAUAUAUAAGAACGUGAAACUUAAUAUUACUAUUUUAUAUUGUUAUAGAUUUUUGUCCUUAAAAAAAAUUAAUCUCAUUUAAUUUUAAUUUUAAACUUUUAGGAUAAAUAAAAAUACAUGACAUUUUAUAUAUUAAAUAAUUUAAAAGAUACUUAUUAUAUAAGAAAUUAAAAAUAUUCUUACCUAAAAAAAUAUUUCAUAACAAAAUUGAGUUUGGAGAGAGAGAAAGAGAGAGAUAAAAAUUUCUAACUAAUUACAAAAAAUCAGAGCCAUCAACCUAUUAAAUGAGUAAUAUCAAAUGAGGAUUAAAAAAGAAACUACAACGAUGAAUUUAAAAAUUUUUUGUUUCUCUCUAUGUAGUGUUUCACUUUAAGUAACUAGUUUUUAUGGAUAAUAAUCAAAUGACAAAUAAAAUAGUAAGAAGAUUCACAUUAAAUUAUGAAAAUUCAUCUCACCUUUAUAAUACGAUGACAUUAUUUUAAAAUAUGCAAAACAAAAUAAUAAAGUACAGUUUAAUUAAUGUGCACAAUAAAAUAAACAUGAAACUUAUAUAAUAGUAGUCAAAUGUGGAUAGUAAUAAUUGCCUUUUGUCUAAGGUACUAUAUUAAACUGCGACUUCAAUUUAUAAUUAUUAAUUAAAAAGCUUAUAUUAUUUUUUAUUAUUUAGUUAAAAAUAAUAUAUUUUGAUAUUAUCUUUUAGAAUUAUUGACAUCAAAUUUUAAUAAUAUAGUAAAAAUUUUGAAUAUUUUUUGUCUUAAAUUUCUUCUUAAUAGAACAAAAUAAGACAACUAACAGGCACAUAAAAAAAAUUAUAAUUUUUAUACAUUUAGAUAUUGAAAAGACACAAAAAUAAUUUCUUUAACAAAACUUCAACAACUCAUAAAAGUUAAUAGAAUAUUUGGUUAUAAAUCAAGGUGAUAGACAAAAUUAAAAGUUGUGAUAAUGAUAUUUGGUGAUAAUUAAUAACUAUCGGGUGAAGAGAAUAUGGAAGGAGAAGAAGACGAAAAAGGAGAACAAUGCAAUAUCACAGUGGCAUUAAGGCAAUAAUAAAAAUAUAAAUUAACAAUUUUAAAAAAAUAAUAAAAUUAAAGAUAAUUUUAAAAAUUAAAUAAUAAAAUUAAAAAAAUAUUUUUAUCAAUUAGAAUUAUACAUAAAAUUAAAUUCUUUGAAUANNNNNNNNNNNNNNNNNNNNNNACUUUUAUGUUUAAUUAUUAAAAUAUAUUUUCUUAUAAUUUUAUGUUAUUUACCGUUAGAUUCUUACAGAUUAAUCUUUAAUUACGUUAUACGAAUUAAUUAAAUUUUGUGAUCAAAAUAAAUCUGUAAUAAUGCUGCUUACGUAUAUACAUAUUUUUUUUAGUGAAAUAAGCUUUUGUAUUUAACCUUACAAAAUUAGAUAAAGGCCUAUUAAGUUAUAGUAGAUAUCUAAUUGAAAAUUGAAAUAAACUAAGUAUUACGGUGUAAUUAUACACCUAACUUUUAUAUACUAAUACCACAAGACCUGCAUCAUAUAUAUGUGUUAAAAAAAAUCAAAUUUAUUAAUAUUUAUCUUUUAAAAUAAUAAUUAAUUAAUAAUAAUAACACAAAAUUUAUUUAUGAAGAAUCACUUUAUCACAAAUAAUAAACAAAUAAUACUAUAUAUAUUUUCAACUUGAACAUCACAAUUAAACAAAUCUUCGGGGUACACACUAGUCCAAAUUGAGGAAUUGAGCCACCUCUUAUAAGUAGUAAUAACAGUUUCUUGGAUGUGCCCGACUGUUAAAACGUUUUUGCAUUUGGAUUUACAAACGUGCACAACAUUAAUUUACAUAUUGCAGAAUGCAUAUAUAUUUGACUUAUGUUACUCUAGUAGUAGUGUAUAUAUGCUAAUUUAAGCGUCAAAUAUACUGGACCACAAAGGAUUUUUUUUCUUCUUUGAUACUACUAAUUAAUUGCACAAAUUAAAGGGUCCAUUAAUUUUGAUUAGAAAAUAGGUUUACAUUUUGAAAAAUAAUUUUUUAAGAUGGCAAUUGCAUAAUUUAAUUAUUUUGUAGCGAAAUACUCAACUAUAACUAUUAGCACACAAUCAAAUUUUUACUUGUGUUUUUUUUUUUUUUAAACAAAGAAGCUCAACACAAAAAUAGAAUAAAAAUACAGAGAAACAAAAACUAACCAACAUUAACUGUAACCACCUAGUAACUUACUAAGCAAUAACAUGUUUGUCAUCUUCAAUAUUGUCAUUAAUAAUAAAAGGGAUCCUUACACCGCCACUCCUAGUAACUAAGACUAGACAUAUUAAUAAUCUCUUCUACGGUUCUACCCCCUUGCUAAAAGUGCCACCUAUCAAAAUGAAAUAACAAUGCGCACCACACCUGCCAAGUAAAUUCACAUCCAAAAAAUAAGUGAUGAACAUAUUCACAAUCUUUUUUUUUUUUGUAUUCACCCUGCCUAUCAAGACAAUGUAGGGGUUAACCGUGGGGAGCUUUCGACCACCGGGGAGAUUUCGGGAAGGAAUCAAGUGAGAGAACAUAAGAUGAGAAGACACCACAUCCAACUCAAAACCUUAAGGUUUCAAGUUAAUUGGUCUAUCAUCUUAUAAACUCCUCACUCUUCCUUACUUUCUUUGAUGUGGGACUAACUUCAUGUACUCCUCACACUUGCAACACUAACAAUCUCCCCCUCGAGUGUGAGCCUCCACAUCAAGCAUCAACUCCCUUCUAGCUCUUCCACAUAUGAGAAUUCGUCCAUCACACCGCCACAAAACACCGCGGGACACGCCGUUCGGACCACCUUUGCUGAGAAGACUGAUAAACCACUAUUUUGUGAUUUAUCUUGUGCUCAAUUGAGUGGUUUUUAUCUACUCUUUACCCACUUAUUCAUACUAUUUGCAUGGUUUUAUAUUUGCCUUCCUAAUUAUGUGCUUUGAUUGAAAACAUGCUUCUUUGAUCUUAUAUUUGCUUAUUAUUAAUCCUCUCUUAUUACCAUUAGAUGCCUUGAUAUGUGUGUUAAGUGUUUUCAGAUAUUAUAAGGCAGGAAUGGCGUGGAGGAUGGGAAGAAAGCAUGCAAAAGUGGAAGGAAUGCAAGAAGUUGGAGAAAUUGCUAAGCUGUCCAGUCUGACCUCUCUGCACUCAAACGAUUAUAACUUUAGCUACAGAGGUCCAAACGACGCGGUUUCAGUUGCGUUGGAAAGCUAAUGUCCGGGGCUUCGAUUUGAUAUAUAAUAUGCUAUAGUUCCCCUAACACUAGGCGACGCGACCGCGUGAUCCAUGUGGCCGCGUCGCAGUGACGGAAAUCCAGCGUGGCAAAAUUCAAAACCAGCGAAUUCUGGACUGUUUUUGACCCAGUUUGCGGUCCAAAAAACACAGAUUAGAGGCUAUAAAGUGGGGGAAUGCAUCCAUUCAUGGGGAGGCUCUGAUAAUUCAUAAUUAGGAGUAGAUGUAGUUUUUAGAGAGAGAGGUUCUCUCCUCUCUCUUAGGAUUAGGAUUUAGGAUUUCUCUUAAUUUUAGGAGUAACUCUCGAUCCAGGUUUAAUAUUCCUUUUACUUUUAAUUUCUCUUUUACUUUCAGAUACUCUCAUGCUUUUAUUUGUAUCUGAUUUAUGUUGCCCAAUUGGCUUAUGAACUUUUCCAUGUUAGAUUUUCCUACUUUGAAUGUAUUUUAUUCGAGGUAUUCUCAGAUUUAAUUUUGCUUUGCUUUAUUUAUAUUGAUGCUUUUUAAUUUAGAUAUUUUCUUCCUUUUGGAAAACUCAUUGUUGAUUGAAAAUUUGAUUUCUUCAUUUCAUUAAUUCAAAUUCCAAUAACUCUAGUCUUUCCCAAAGAAAGACUAGGACCUGAGGAAUAAAAAUUAAUUCAUCCACUUAACUUACCUUCAUAGUUAGAGGUUAACAAAGUGGGAGAAAAAUCCAAUUCUCAUUACAAUUGAUAAGGAUAGGAUCUCCAGUUCUAAUACCUUGCCAAGAGUUUAUUUUUAUUAUUAUUAUUAUUUUAUUUUACUUGUCAUAUAACAUAUUCCCACCUUACUUCCAAAACCCCAAUUUACAAACUCAUAACCAAUAAUAAGAACAUACUUCCCUGCAAUUCCUUGAGAAGACGACCCGAGGUUUAAAAUAUUCGGUUAUCAAUUUCAAAGGGGUUUGUUACUUGUGACACCCAAAACUUUUGUACGAAGGGAUUUCUGUCGGUUUAGAGACUAUAUCUACAACGCGACUGUUUUUAUGACAUUCUUUACUGGCAAAAAUCCUAACGUCAAAAUGCCGCCGUUGCCGGGGAAUUGCAAACGUGUGCCUUAUUAUUGGUUAUUGUAAAUAUUUUUUUGAUUUUUGCUUGUUUAUUUGUUUUUAUUUUUGUUUUUAUUUUUGCUUUUUCAUAAAUUAAGAGGUUAUUCGUUUUUAUUUAGUUAAUAAAAAAUUUUUUUUUCAAAAAUUUGUUCUUAGUGACAUCUUGAUCUUCAAGUUGUUCUUCGCGUUCAUCUUGACCUUCAAGCUGUUCUUAGUUGUUUUCUUUGUUUUGAUCUAAAAAUUUGAAAUUUGGUGUCAUUUUAUUGUUUUUCUCUUUCCUCAUUAAAUUCAAAAUUAUUUUUAAUUAAUUUUUUUCGAAAAAAAAAAUUUCAGAUUUUUAUUUUUAAAAUUUUUAUCUUAUCUUAUCUUAUUUCAAAAAUCAAAUUUCAAAAUAUUCAAAAUUCAAAAUUUAAUUUUCAAAUUCAAAAUUUAAAUAACCUUACUAUCAACAACCACCACCAUAUGCCUAUGAACCCUUUCCUCAACACAACUUUGAACUACCACACUCACAAGCCAACUACCACCAUUCACCUCCAUAUGACCCUAACCCUCAACCACCAUACCAACCACCUUAUGAGCCAUAUGAACCAUAUAUAGAACCACCCCAAUUCCAAUCCACUCACUCCCAACCACCACCACUUCUCUAUGUGUCCUGUCCAAAUCCGGCAACCCGAGAAGCAGAGGUUCGCCUAAAAAAAAUAGUGGAUCGAUUUCAGGCAACCAUUCAUCAAUUGGGGCAAGCAAUAAUGAGUCAAUUAGCUUCCCGACGUUCGGACACUCAAGGAAUCCCCAUGGCUUCAUGUGGACAAUCUAAUGAAGAACGUAGUAUGAAAGAAAUACUAGAAACUUCAGUGAACAGUACGGAGCAUGACUUUGUACUGGAACAAGUAGAGGAAGCCGGAAUUAUUGAAGAAGAAGAAGUGGUUGAAGACUUAGGAGAUUCAGAACCUCCAUGGGAAAGUCCAAUCAUAGAACCUCUUUCCAAGACGGUUGAAUUUGAUGCUGAGGAGGGUGUACAACCUCCAAGGCAUAUCACAGUUGAAGACUUGGAAGAGGUUGAUCAAGUGAUGGAGAUUCAACAAGAAGAAGCACAGCCUCCUAUGCCCUUGGAUAGCAAUGAAGAGGAGAUUCAAUUGGAAGAAAGCUACCAAGAGGAAGAUGUUGAAAUUGAAGAAGCUUGCAAAGAGGUGGUAGUUAUCAGAAAAGAGCACAAGGGAGUGGAGCUUGCAAUUUCAUUAAAAAUACCUCCCCCUAAGUUGCCAUCAUCCUUCACAACAUUCAAGUGGGUAAAAUUCAUAUCCCUUAGCUUCCUAAUUCCACUUGAAUAUGGGCUACUGGAGACGGAUGGUCAACUUAGAGCUCUUUGUGGCAUUAAGAGUAAGAGGAAGAUGGCCAAUGAUAAGAAUUGCCAAGCAAGGUUCAACAUGGUUGUGUGCUCAAAGUUUAAAUGCAAAGGUUGGUGUAAAGCUCAACUGAAUGGAUCUAGGAAGUUUUUUGGCCGCUUACGUGAGAAUUCAGACUGCUUGCCACCCAGAGGGAACAAUAUUGCUCAACCAAAAGACGGGUGCAAAGGCAAAGUCUGGGACCCAGGAAUCCAUUCUAUCAAUCACCAUUAUAUUGAACCUGGAGUUUUGCAUCACAUUCAUAUUAACACUGCAUUCUGCAUUUUUCAGAUUACAAAAAAAAAUUUCGCUACGCGACGCGAUCGCAUCAGCGAUGCGUCCGCGUCGCAAGGGGAGUGAAGAAAAAAAUAAAUGAAUAGAAAGUCAUGCUGGAGCAUGGCUGGAGGCGUGCCAAUGGCACAAAUCAACCCACGCGACCGCGUCACCGACGCGUUCGCGUCGCAUGGGAACCAUGGCCCCCCACGCGACCGCGUGCCCCACGCGGCCACGUGCCCUGGAUCUCGACGUAACAAGGUGUAUGGCCGAAAGUUGAGCUGAAGUUGGGCUGGACCCGUGCUAGUAGCACAAGCCCUGCCACGCGAACGCGUCACCCACGCGUCCGCGUCAUAUUGGAAAUAAGGCCACCCGGGCGAUCGCGUCGACCACGCGACCGCGUCACCCAGAAUUUUGGCAAAAAGAGUUUCGAACAGAGAGUUGCGCGACCGCGAGGCUGCACCCGUGCCAAUCGCACAAAACAGGCCACGCGAUCGCGUGACCCACACGUCCGCGUCACCUGACCUUAUCACGCACCACGCGACCGCGUCACUCACGCGUCCGCGUCACAAGCGGCGCACAGAAUAUCCAGAUCAGCCAAUUUUCUUAUCUUUUCUUCUCUAAUCCUUAUUUUUCUUAUCUUUUCUUUUUUCUUUCUUCUUCCUUAUCUUCUUUCCCUUCUCAUUCUUCUUAUUUUUUUUAUUUUAUUUUAAUUUAUUUACAUACUUUCAUUCAUUGCAUUAUUUUCAUUGGUGUUAGAAAUUUAUUUGGGUCAUUAUUUCUAUAUUUUACUUGUGGAUUAUUAGAGGAAUUAUUUGACAAUUAUAUAUAUUUAUUUUUAAAGGGUUGCUUGCAUGUUCAAUUUAUUAUUUUCAUUAGAUUAUUUACCAUACAUGCUAUGUGUUUGUGAAAACGCUCGUAUGGCAUUGUGCACUGCUUUUCAGUAUCUUUUAUCCUACUACUCUGAAUGCCUGCUUUUCACAAAACCCUUUUUCAUAUCAUAUUCAUUCAAUAUAAUUGUCAUUACAAACAUGUUGCUAGUUUGAAAGACUUGGUAAUCUAACUUGGACAUUGAAUGCUUGAUCUAUGCUACUCAUGCCUUUGCCUGCAUGCCAAUAAACACCUUACAUUCAAUUGUUAUUAUAUGCACUAGCUAUUUUCCAUUGAUGACUUUGCACAUGUACUCAUGAGCGUGUGUUAACGUCAUUCUUCUUUAUUGUGCAUUGAUUACCACCUUUCCCGCUCUCUUCCUUGCUCUAACCCUUAGCUUUAUAAGUCACUUUCUUUUUCCCUUUUCAGGAUGGCCACCAAGAAGGGUAAAGAGAAAGCUACUCUCAAACUACCGGCAAGAAAAGGAACAAAAAGAGCCCCAACUGAGGAACCACAACCCCCGUCCACUUGCAAAUCUCAGCAUGCACCGAGGACGGUGCAAUCUUUAAGUGUGGGGAGGUUGAUACCAAUCUCCGUGGGUUAGUACUUUCCUGUCUCAAACACCAAUAUUUUAUUUUCUUUGUUAAUUGUUACAUUUGCAUAUUUAAUUGCAUGAUUAUUUGAUUUUAUGCAUUUAGUUACUACUUGGUUGAAGUAAUAUUUUCUUUUUCAAGAAAUUUUUAUACUAUUUCACUAAUUUAAAUUGAAAAUUUUUUUUUGUUAAAUUUGUUUGAAGUUGUAUUUGGAACAUGGUUUUUGAGUCAAAGAACACACAACCUGUGAGAUUUUGAGCUUAUUUACAUGGUUACAUUAUUUAACCAUAAAUAUUUUAUUCCUAUGUGUUCCCUUCUCUAUGAUUGUAAUCUAUAUUUUGUUCCAACCUAUAUGUCCAUUAUUUAGUGUAUUUACAUGCUUGCAUAUGAUUGAGGCCAUUGUUUGAUUUUAGCUCACUUAUCCCAAAUAAGCCUACCCUUUAAAUCACCAUUGUCAGCCACUUUGAGCUUUUUAAUCCCCAUUUAUUCUAUAUUUUACCACAUCACUAGCCUUAAGCGGAAAACAAAUUAAUUAUCCCAAUUGAAUCUUUGGUUAGCUUAAGAUAGUGUGUUAAUUAAGUGUGGGGAAAUUGUGGGAACAUGGGUUAAUGAGGGAAUGUAUCAUGUUUCUAAUUUAUUUGAAUAUUGGGAAUUUGGGAACCUACUCAUAAAAAACCAAAAUAGAAAAAUAAUAGAAAAUCCAUGUGCAUUGAUAAGAUAUGUUUAUUUCUCUACAAAAAAAAAAAGAGAGAGAGAAAAAGAAAAAAAUAUAUAUAUAUAAUAUAAGUAAAUAAAUAAGGGGACAAAAUUACCCCAAUAUUAAGUUUAAUAAAAGAUCAAUGCACAUGUGAUAAAAAUUAAAGAAAAUUUGGUACAUGAGUAUGGGAAUUAUACAAAAGUGGGAAUUAUGGGUAGCUAGGCAUGAAUUUAAAAGUAUAUAUAGUAUAUGUAUAUUAGGUGAGAGCUUAGGUUAAUUAAAGAUUCAAUUUAUAAAACUCACUUAGCCAUAUAUAUACAUUUACCCUUACCUUAGCCCCAUUACAACCUUGAAAAAGAUCUCAUGAUGUUUGCAUUGGUAUAUUAAAUUUUGUUGAUUGGUUAGAUGAAGAACAAGGUUUAGAAAGCAUGACUAGAGAAGAGUAGAGUGAAUAACCCUAUACACUUGAGAGAUUAGAGUGAUAUACACUUCCAGUGAGGGUUCAACGCUUAAAUUUUAUGUUCCCUGCUUUCAUGAGCUGUCUUCUUACAAGUUCACUUGCUUUUUAUUGUAUGAUUUGAAUUAGUGGAAUCUGAUUUAUAUUUGUCUUGGAGAACUUAUUUACUUUUGACCAAGUAGAUAGAAAUAUUCUGCAUAUAUUUGCAUUCAUAUAGGUAGAUUGCAUUUCAUACAUCUCUAUCAUUCCUCUUCAUCUUUGUAGUUUCUCUUGAGCUUAGCAUGAGGACAUGCUAAUGUUUAAGUGUGGGGAGGUUGAUAAACCACUAUUUUAUGGUUUAUCUUGUGCUCAAUUGAGUGGUUUUUAUCUACUCUUUACCCACUUAUUCAUAUUAUUUGCAUGGUUUUACAUUUGCCUUCCUAAUUAUGUGCUUUGAUUGAAAACAUGCUUCUUUGAUCUUAUAUUUUCUUAUUAUUAAUCCUCUCUUAUUACCAUUAGAUGCCUUGAUAUGUGUGUUAAGUGUUUUCAGAUAUUAUAAGGCAGGAAUGGCGUGGAGGAUGGGAAGAAAGCAUGCAAAAGUGGAAGGAAUGCAAGAAGUUGGAGAAAUUGCUAAGCUGUCCAGCCUGACCUCUCUGCACUCAAACGACUAUAACUUUAGCUACAGAGGUCCAAAUGACGCAGUUCUAGUUGCGCUGGAAAGAUAACGUCCGGGGCUUCGAUUUGAUAUAUAAUAUGCUAUAGUUCCCCUGACGCUAGGCAACGCGACCGCGUGAUCCAUGCGGCCGCAUCACAGUGAUGGAAAUCCAGCGUGGCAAAAUUCGAAACCAGCGAAUUCUGGACUGUUUUUGACCCAGUUUGCGGCCCAGAAAACACAGAUUAGAGGCUAUAAAGUGGGGAAAUGCAUCCAUUCAUGGAGAGGCUCUGAUAAUUCAUAAUUUUAGGAGUAGAUGUAGUUUUUAGAGAGAGAGGUUCUCUCCUCUCUCUUAGGAUUAGGAUUUAGGAUUUCUCUUAGUUUUAGGAGUAACUCUCGAUCCAGGUUUAAUAUUCCUUUUACUUUUUAUUUCUCUUUUACUUUCAGAUACUCUCAUGCUUUUAUUUGUAUCUGAUUUAUGUUGCCCAAUUGGCUUAUGAACUUUUCCAUGUUAGAUUUUACUACUUUGAAUGUAUUUUAUUCGAGGUAUUCUCAGAUUUAAUUUUGCUUUGCUUUAUUUAUAUUGAUGCUAUUUAAUUUAGAUAUUUUCUUCCUUUUGGCUUUGGUUAAGUAAUUGGUAACGCUUGAGCUGUCAAUAAAGCAGUGAUUGAAAUUGGGAGUUGCUCCUUCCAAAACCCCAAUUUACAAACUCAUAACCAAUAAUAAGAACAUACUUCCCUGUAAUUCCUUGAGAAGACGACCCGAGGUUUAAAAUAUUCGGUUAUCAAUUUCAAAGGGGUUUGUUACUUGUGACACCCAAAACUUUUGUACGAAGGGAUUUUUGUCGGUUUAGAGACUAUAUCUACAACGCGACUGUUUUUAUGACAUUCUUUACUGGCAAAAAUCCUAACGUCAAAGACUUUCAAUGCUUCACCUUGAAUACCCCUUAAAACCACCAGACCAAUUAACCAUCGACUCUGAUAUCACUUGUUGGGUUAACCGUGGGGAGCUCUCGACCACUAGAGAGAUUUCGGGGAGAAAUCAAGUGAGAGAACAUAAGAUGAGAAGACACCAUAUCCAACUCAAAACCUUAAGGUGUCAAGUUAAUGGGUCUCUCAUCUUAUAAAUUCCUCACUCUUCUUUACUUUCUUUGAUGUGGGACUAACUUCAUGUACUCCUCACACUUGCAACACUAACAGACAAACCAAACAAACAGCUCCACUCUUAGAGGAACCAAGCCGAAAUAGUCUUGGUGAAACUAUAACUUGUUACGUCAUCCGAUGGCGUUUCCUCCUGCAACACUUGCACAAAUGAGUUAGUAGAAAAUACACAAUGUCUAUCAAACUUCCACACAACCCUAUCCUCUCUGUCAGCUGCUAGUUUAACUAGCCUCAAAGCGUCAUGUAAUUGAUUCAUAAGUUUCAACUCCCAUUGAAAAUAGCUCACACUUCUAUUGAAAGUUCCAAAUCCACUCUAACCCAUCCCAGAACCCACAGUCUCCUAUGAUAGAUCCUUUUUGGAUUGAAACAGAGAAGAGCCUUGGAAAUCUAUUCUUCAAAGGACCACAAUAUAGCUAGACAUCCUCCCAAAAUCGAGUUCUUUUACCAUUACCAACUUCCAUAGUCAACCCAUUUAUCAUCUUAUCUCUUACAUGUUGUUCCUUGAUUUGUAGUUGACAAAUAUCCUUCUAUAGACCUCUCUAGUAGGUAAUGUUUGGGUAGAAAGUAGCUCGUUAGAAUUAAGAUUAUUACAAGAGCAUACCACCUUUUUCUACAACGAACAUUCUUCCUUUGAAAACCUUCACCACCACUUAAACAAAAGUGCUGUAUUACAAACCAUCGCAUCUCCUACUCCUAGACCACCUAGCUUUUUCAAAGCCUGAACCACUUUUCAUCUAACCAAAGCCAUACCAUUUCUACCAUCAUCCUUACACCACAAGAAUUUUUUCUGUAAUGAAAUCAAUUUCUCAGCAACAGCCUUCGACAUCUUAUAUAAGCUUAAAUAAUAUAUUGGCAGGAUAUUUAAAACAGCUUUAAUAAGCACCAACUUUCCUUAUUUGUUGAGCACCUUCGAUUUUCGUAAGCAGAGCUUUUCCUCCACUUUGUCUAUUAUUGACUUCUAAAUUUUGACCAACCUCGGGUUAGCUCCUAGAGAAAUUUCAAGGUACCUGACUGAAAGAGUAGCUUCCUGGUGCGGUAAUUUCUAGCCACAGACUAACCGGCAAGUGCACCAGGUCGUACCAAGUAAUACCUCAGGUGAGUGAGGGUCGAUCCCACGAAGAUUGAAGGACUAAGAAACAAGGGUUGAUUAAUCUACUUAGUUAGGCAAACAGAAAAUAGUGUUUGAGAAUUCAAAAAGCAUUAAACAGAAGACAUGCAAAUAAAUAAGUUAGGAAUAAAAUAUGGAGAAUGCAGUUAAGGCUUCAGAGUUAUCUAUUUUCUGGAUUGACUUUUCUUAUUAAUUUAUUUUAAUCAUGCAAGAUUUAAUUCAUGGCAAACUAUGUGUGACUAGACCCUAAUUCCUUAGACCUUUCUAGUCUCCUCUAAAAUUCAUUAACCGCCAAUUCCUUGGACACUUAAUUCUAAUUAGAGGGUAAAGUUCAAUUCUAGUUUAUAUGCCACAGAAAUCCUAAUUACCCAAAUAUAAGAGGAUUAUAUAUCACGUAUCCUGUUAAGUCCAGAUAAUUAAAAUUUAGGAGAAAUUGUUUUCAAGCUGUUGUUCCAGUAAAGAGCUUUUCCAAGUUAUACAAGAACUCAAUUAGAAAGAGGGUCAUACUUCUGUUCCACCCAAAUUCAUAAAAUAAAGAACAAAAACAAUCCUUGAAAUAUAAAUCAGUGCAUGAAUUAAAAUAGAAAAAUAAUAAAAUCAAUCCAUACAAUAGACAGAGCUCCUAACCUUAACAGUGGAGGUUUAAUUGCUCAUGGUUCAGAGAGAAAAAUAAGGAUUCUGAUAAAAUGUAUUUUCGCUGAGGUGGAAUGGAAUCCCCCCAUGGAAUAAUUCCAAUCCCCUUUUAUAUCUAAUCCUAAUUAAUUUAAAAUCUAUCUUCUAAAACUAAAAUGAUAUCUUUUCCUAUUAAAAAUUAAAGUUUAAAUCAGAAUUAAUAAGAAUCAGCGUUUUCUGCACGUGACGCACGUCACGCGUACGCGUCAGUCACGCGUACGCGUCGAUGGUCUUCUUCAGGUGUCACGCGUACGCGUUAGGUACGCGCACGCGUCGCCAUGGAAAGCACCAAAUCACGCGUACGCGUCAAGUACGCGCACGCGUCGCCAUGGAAAGCUCCAAAUCACGUGUACGCGUCAGGUACGCGCACGCGUCGCUCCUCGCUGGUCAUCUCCUUUAAUUCUUGUGCUCUUUCCAUUUGUGCAAGCUUCCUCUCCAUCCUCUAAGCAUUUCUGCCCUAUAUAGCCUUCUUCUCUUUUUCUGCAGAAGCUCCAUCAAAUCCAACCAAAUGCUACCUAAAAUAAACAGAAUUGCACAAGACUCAAAGUAGCAUCCAUAGUGGCUAAAAGAUAAUUAAUUCUUGAUUAAACUCAACAAAUUGAAUGCAAUUUCACUAGAAAAAAAUAGGAAAGAUGCUCACGCAUCACAACGCUAAACUUAAAUUGUUGCUUGUCCUCAAGCAACCAAAAUUAAUAUAGGCUUAGAGUGUGAAUUUGCAUGAGAAUGAGAAUUCGAUUAAGCUCAUGUCUCUUCUUAUAGUGGGGUUUACAACUACAAUCUUAAAUAGUUUUGGCAUCUCACUCUCCUCUGAAUCAGAAGAAUGUCACUGUCACUCGGAAUUAGAAUCUGGAUAAUAUUAUGAAUUCUCUGGUCUUUGUAACUGAAUUUAACCCUUGAACACAGCAAUUUUUCUUUUCUUUGGUGCUUUGCACCUUGAGCCUAGUCGUGACUUUAAAUGUUUUGUCUCAAGCUUUACUUGACAUAGAAAUACCACAAGCACUUAACUGGGGAACUCUCUUUAAGUUUUGAUUUUUCUUUCAGUUACUCCCAGACAGUGGUGCUCAAAGCCUUUGGCAUACUCUGCUAAUUGCAAUUGAUCUCGACUCUAAAUGUUUUAUCUCAAGGAUUACUUGACACAAGAACACCACAAGCAUAUAACUAGGAAAACAACUCUUUGAGCUUUUAAUCAUGUCUGACCUCCCUAGUCAUUGAUGCUAAGAGCCUUGGACCUUGCUCUUUUUUUUUCUUUUUUUUUGCUGUUUCUUUUGCUUCAAGGAUUAAAUUUUUGUUUAUUUCAGAGAAGUCAUAAUAAUUCUCUAAAUCCCUGUUCCUUGUACAUCAACAUUCUUUGAUUCAAAUUUAAAUAUGCACUGUUCAUGUCAUGCAUUCAGAGUCACAGAAAAUACCACCACAUGUAAGUGAAUAAGACUACUCUUCAAUAUAAACUCAAUUUCUCAUGCAGUACAUCACUUCCUUUUUCUUUUUCUUUUUAGAUUCAAGUUCAGUGAGCGUUAUAUGAGACAAAUAACAGAAUAAAACUAAUUCUAAGAACUGAAAGUACUAAAGACCAUGCAGGCAAUCAAAGCAACAGAAAACAGAAAACAACAAAAUAAGAACGGAAGAGAAAUAGAAUGAAGGAAACUCAACCACCUCAUUUAUGCUAGUGGCCAUCUCAUUCCUCCAUGAAGAACAUUCAUCUCUUUUUGGUGCUAUUAAAAUAAGCAGAAAAGCCAUAAGCGUAGCGACAACACCAAACUUAAAGGUUUGCUUGUCCUCAAGCAAAGAAGAACUGAAAACAGAGAGGGACAUAGAGAGACAUAAAAAUUAGUAUGAUGCAAGAAGAAUAAAAGGAUAAAAGAACAAGAGAAAAUUAGGAUUGGGGGUGGAUGAUUUGAAAUCAGGCGCUGAGGGGUUUAAUUUGGGCGUCGCAUGCGACGCGUACGCGUGGAUCGCGUGAAUUUCAAGUGACGCAUACGCGUCUGGCACGCAUACGCGUGCCCUUGGUUUGUGCGAAUCACGUGAAGGCAGCCGCACGCACGCACAACUCUCUGCUCACGUGGCCUGGGAAUCAAAAUUUUCAGAUGACGCGUGCGCGUCAUGCACGCACACGCGUGGAUAGCCAAUUUCGGAAAAGACGCGCACGCGUCAGGGACGCGUACGCGUGAUCAAGUUUGUGUCUCUAGCACACUUUCAGCCCCAAACCAUCACAACUCUCUGCCCAAACACUCGUUGACGCCGUUUUUCAGGGUCACGCGUCUGCGUCAGGGACGCGCACGCGUGGGUGGCCAGUUGUGCAAACGACGCGCAUGCGUCAGGGACGCGUACGCGUGAUGCGGCUUAUGCGUCGAGCAUAGUUCCAGCUCCACUCCUGCUCAACUCUCUGUCCAAUUUUAUUUUUCAAGCACACACAUAUGACGCAUACGCGUCAGUGACGCUUGCGCGUCGUGUGCUCUUUUUUUUUUUUUGUGUCACCUGAAGUAUUCGGUUCCUGUUAUAAAAUAGCUGCAUGUUCAGAAAAACAGUAAAAACUCAAUAAAAAUCAAACAAGUAAGAAAACUACUACGAUGAAAAAUAACUAAGGAUACGAAAUUAUCGGGUUGCCUCCCGACAAGCGCUUCUUUACCGUCACUAGCUUGACGGUCAGCUCCUCUAAGGAGGAGGAUCAUAGGGGCUCAGCUCUUCACCCCUUACUUUGAACUUUUUUCCUGUGUCUCCAUAAAUAAGCUCAAUAUGCUCCAGAGAGAGGAUUCUGUUUACUGUAUAAAUUCACACUGGAUUCCUAGUCAACACCACCUUUUGUUCCUAGGGAGAAACCUUCAGUAGGGAUCUUUUUGUUUCUCCAUCCCCUGAGCAUUUUCUUCUUUUUGGGAACCUACUCCUUGGUGGAUGAUGCAUUCCCGACACCAAACUUAGGUUUGAUGUUAGGAGGAAUUUUAUUGAUUGUCACCAAAGGAAGUUUGAGCUGCAGAUUCUGUGGUGCAUCAUCAGGGAGUUUUUGAAGGUUUGGAUCAAUGAGCUCAGUCUGCAUGCACCUCUCCUCUUCACCUGCUGAAUGUAUAUCUUUGAAGACAUGAAUGACCAGUUACUCAUUAUACACUCUAAGCACUAAUUCACCCACUUCUACAUCAAUUAGAGCUCUCCUAGUGGCUAGGAAUGGUCUUCCUAGAAUUAUAGAGGCAUUCUCAUCCUCCCCUGUGUCAAGAAUCACAAAAUCUGUUGGGAGGAAGAACUUACCCACUUUGACCAAGAUAUUCUCCACUAAUCCGUAUGCAGGCUUCAUAGAUUUGUCUGCCAUCUGUAAUGCUAUCUUUGUGGAUUGUGCCUCUUGGAUUUGCAACUUCUUCAUCACAGACAAGGGCAUUAGAUUUAUGCUUGCCCCUAGAUCACAUAGGACUUUCUCAAAGGUUGUGCUCCCAAUGGUGCAUGGAAUUUGAAAGCUCCCUGGAUCUGGCAUCUUCCUUGGCAAGUUAUUCUGAAUUAUGGCACUACAUUCCUUAGUCAGGACCACUGUCUCAUCUCCAUUUACAGGCUUCUUCUUUGACAACAACUCCUUCAUGAACUUGACAUAGAGAGGCAUUUGCUCCAAAACCUCAGCAAAAGGAAUAUUGAUUUACAACUUUCUGAAGACUUCCAAGAAUUUUGAAAACUGCUUGUCCUUGGUCUCCUUUUAAAGUCUCUGAGGAUAUGGCAUUUUAGGCUUGUAUUCAGGAGCCUUUGGCAAUGUAGGAUAAGUUUCAAGAGAGUCUGGGAAUGGGUUGUCUGCACACUUUAGAGGGACGUGCUCUACUUCUUCCUUCUUCUCUUCUGGAGCUUCUUUUUCAACUAACUCUCCAUUGACCUUGGUCUCAGAGCCAGCUACUUUACCACUUCUCAAUUGAAUAACCUUGAAAUCUUCUUUUUCAGCUGGCCCCUCAUUAACUUGUGCUUUAAUACUUGCCACUUGUCCACUUAUCAAGGUGAUAGCCUUGCAUUCCUCUCUUGGAUUUGGAAUUGUGUUACUAGGAAGGCUAUUAGUGGUCCUCUGAUCGAUUUCAUUAACUUUUGUGGCUAGUUGGCCCAUCUAAAUCUCCAAAUUCUUGAUUGAUGCUCUGGUUUUCUGUCUAAAACUUGUCAAUAUUGCUUCCAAAUUAUUGUUCUGCUGGGGCUGAGAAGUUGCUUACUGAGAUGACUGAAACUGGUAGUUAUUAAAAUUCUUCUGUUGAAAACCACUGACGUGGCAGAAAUUGGCGAGUUAAGAAAUUAUUAGAAGAGAUACGUUGCAAGUACAGUUCUUAACCAACCAAAAAUUCGCUUAUCAAUUUAGAAGGGUUGUCACAAAAUUUAAAUUAAAAUAUUGGGAGUAUGAAUCCCAGGUCGUCUUCCAACGAGUUGCAGAAAGGUGUGCUAUUUUAUUAAUCAGAUGUCUUCAAGAAAAAUGGGUUGAGUUGAACAACAGGAAUUUAAAUUAGAGAAUUUAUGUAAUUUUAAAUGAAAGCCUUGGUUGGGAGUAGAUUAGUUGGAAGCCCUAUUCUUGUUGGAGUACUCUCAAGAUUAAUUGAUAAUUAAGGGUUAUUCUGUUUAGUUAUCCCUUACUAGGUAAGGGAAAGUCAAACAAGUUGGAAAGCUAUUUCUAUUCACAAGUCCCAAUCCGCUUACUUGGAAGGAUUGGUGUCAGUGACUAGAGAGCAAUCCAACAAUAAACUCAAUUACAAUUUUUUUAAGCAUUCCAACGCAAGGUCUUCCUUUCAAUCAACUCCCAUCCAAGUUAUGGAACUACUCGCUCUUUGUGAAUGUAGAAUUCAUAACAUAGAAAAGGAAAAUAAAGAAAUACAUGAUAAAUAAUAAUAAAAAGACCAAUUAGAAAUAAAAAUAAUCCAAUAGUAAUUCUGAAUAAACAAAGGACAUGAAAGAGAAAGAGACAGGUAAAGAAAACAAACUAGAAUGACGAAGUCUUGCUGAGGUAAUAACUCUUCUCAAUAUCCCAAUGCAAAAAGCAAUAAUAAUAAAAUCCUAAGAACUAUGAAUGUGUAGAGAGAAAACCUAGAGGAGGAGUAAAACUAGAUCUAAAACUAAGAUUGUGUGGAAUGAAUGUUCCCCCCCCCCGGUUUCUGCAUGUUCCUUAGCUCUAGUCUGCUUUUCUGGGCCGAAGAUUGGGUCAAAGUAGGGCCCAAAAUCGCCCCCAGCGAAUUCUGCAGAUCGCGCAUGUCAUGUGAUCGCGUCAUUCAUACGGACGCGUCAUUCGGCGUUUUGCCUUGCCACGCGUGCGCGUCGUCCACGCCUCCGCGUCACUUGUGCAGUUCCAAUCCGCGCGGUCGUGUGAGCCAUGCGUCCGUGUCACUUUUCGCUGGUCAUCUCCUCAAUUUAUUGUGUUCCUUCCAUUUUUGCAAGCUUCCUUUCCAAUCUCCAAGUCAUUCAUGCCCUAUAAAGCCUGAAACACUUAACACACAGAUCACGACAUCUAAUGGAAUGAAGGAGAAUUAAAAUACGUAAUUAAAAGUCUUUAGGAAGCAAAUAUUCAAUCAUGUAAUAAUUUUAGGAAGGAAGUAUAAAUGCAUGCCAAUCAUAUGAAUAAGUGGGUAAAGAAUUGAUAAAACCAUACAAUUAAGCACAAUAUAAACCAUAAAAUAGUGGUUUAUCAACCUCCCCACACUUAAACAUUAGCAUGUCCUCAUGCUUAGUUGAAGGAGAUAAAAUAAAUGAGUAGGAACAUGUAAAACUCAUGCAAUGCAAUACAACCUAUAUAUAUGAAUGCAACUAGAUGAUUUUUUGUCCACUUGGUUAAAAGUAAAUAAGCUCUUCAAGACAAUUACAAAUCAAAUUCCACUAAUUCAAUUCUUAUACAGUAACAACAGAUAAAAGUGCAAGAAGAUAGCUUCUGAAAGUAGGGAACAUAGAAUUUAAGCAUUGAACCCUCACUGAUGAUGUAUGUAUACUCUAAUCUCUCUAGUGUAUAGGGCAAUCACUCUAUCCUUCUCUAAUCAUGCUUUCUAAUUUUUGUUCUUCUCCUAACCAAUCAACAAUAUUUAAUAUACCUAUGCAAACAUCAUGAGGUCUUUUCAAGGUUGUAAUGGGGCCAAGGUAAGGGUAAGGAUACAUAUAUGGUUAAGUAAGCUUGUAAAUUGAAUCUUUAAUUAACCUAAGCUUUAACCCACACAUAUGUACAUUCUAUAUAACUCAAAUUUCAUACCUAGCUACCCAAAAUUUCUCUUUCACAUUCCAUACUCAUGUAUCAACUUUUAUUUUAAUUUUAUCAUACAUGCAUUGAUCUUUGAAUUCUUAACUUAACCUUGGGGUAAUUUUGUCCCCUUAUUCAUUUAUUGAGAAUUUUUUUUAAACAUAAAUAUAAAAAAUAAACAUAGCUAAUCAAUGCACAUAAAUAUAUUUAUUCUUAUAGUUUCACACGAGUAGGUACCCAAAUUCCCAUUAUAUUAUCAUGACACAUUCCCUUAUUAUCUUUUGUUCCCACAAUUUCCCAUACUUAAUUGACACACACAAUUCUAUCUUAAGCUAACCAAAGAUUCAAUUGGGAUAUAUAAUUGUUUUUCCGCUUAAGGCUAGUAAUGUGGUAAAAUACAGAACAAAUGGGAUUUAAAGGCUCAAAGUGGCUAACAAAGGUAAUUGAAAGGGUAGGUUUGAUUUGGAUAAGUGAGCUUAAACAAGUAAUGGCCUCAAUCAUAUGCAAACAUAUAAAUAUAUUAAACAUUGGACAUAUAGGAUGAAACAAAAUGUAGAUUACAAUCAUAUAGAAGUAAACACACAAGAAUAAAAUAAUUAUGGUUAAAUAAUAUAACCAUGCAUAAAGGCUCAAAUCUCACAGGUUGUGUGUUCUUUAGCUCAAAAAUCAUGUUCCAAAUACAACUUCAAGCAAAUUUCAACAUAAAAUUUUUGAUUAAAAUUAGUGAAAUUUUGUUCUAAAGAUAGGGUCUUAGAAGAAACUUAUUGUCUUUUCAAUCAAGUAGAACAUGCAUGCAACUAAUCUAUUACUAUGCAAUUUAUCCUAUUCUACAAAAGAAAAACUAACUAAAUAUCCUAAUAUAUUGGUGUUAGGGAAGAGAAAUUACCUCCGGAAGUCAGGUACUGACCGACCUCCCCACACUUAUGGAUUUGCACCAUCCUCGGUGCCAUCUGUCAGGAACAAAGGUAGGCUGGUGGCAGUAUCUCCACAGUCGGGAUCGUCAUGGCUCCCUGUGUUGGUAAAGGAAGUGGAGUCCGGGGUGUCUGAGUCUAGGGGUGGAAACAGGCCAGGCCAGGCCAGGCUUUAGUCUUAACAGGCCAGGCCUGUAAUAGAGUAUAUUGGCCUUAGCCUGGCCUGUAGCCUGAUAUAGGCUUUUUAAUGAGUAUUGAGCCUGGCCUGUUGUUAAAUCUGGCCUGGCCUGAAGCCUGUUAAUAGGCCUGUUACAGCCACAUGUUCAGGUUUGUAAAUGAAAGGAAAACAGAAUUUAAUAACAUGUAAUUUGCACCUAGGAUCCAAAACACAAGCAAGAGACAUUACCAUAUUGCAUUCUCCCCAAUAUUUGUCAAACUUUUCUUUCAUUGAGGUUGCCAUUUCUCUCAUGAAGGAAUCUCUAUCUUCAAUAGCAUCAUCAAUUACUUGUUUCACUCUCCAAACUUCAGGAAGGUACAAAUUUGCAGUAGGAUACUCACUACCAGAAAUGACAUGAGUAGCAAGAUUAAAAACUUUUAAAAGUUUGCAAAUCUUCUCAACUUUCCUCCAAUCCUCUGAUGAUGGUUCGUAACUAUAGUGGGGUUUUCUUUCUUUUUAUAAACAGCAAACACAGAUUUAAACUUCAAAGCCACAGAUAACAUGUUGUAAGUAGAAUUCCAUCUUAUGGGACAAUCAAUGAUGAGUUUUUUCUCCUUCAAACGCUUGUUUUCAGCAAUCUCAACAAAUGUUUUAAAUCUUGAAUCAUUAAAAUUGACAUACUGGACACUCUCACGAACUUUAUGAAUAAUACCUUUAAUUUUACCUAGCCCAUCUUGUACCAACAAAUUCAGAAUGUAUGCACAACACCUAACAUGAAACAAACUACCACCAACAGGUAAUGAGUUGUUAUCUGAAAUAGUAUCCUUAAGAGCCCUUAGACAUGAAUCAUUAUAGGAAGCAUUGUCAACAGAUACUGAGAAGACUUUGUUUUCAAUUUCCCAAGUCUUCAAACACUUGAAAAUAGCAUCCGCAACAUCAAUGCCACGUCUAGGAGCAGGUACCUGAACAAAACUCAAAAUCCUUUUUUGAAGAUUCCAUCCUGCAUCAAUAAAAUGACCUGUGAUAACCAUAUAUUCAAUAAUUUGAUGACUUGAUCUCCACAUGUUAGUUGUCAAACUUAUCUUUCUAACACCUUGUAACAAAGCCUUCAGUUGUUUCUUUUCAGCCUCAUAUAUUGCCAAGCAAUCACUUCGAGCAGUUUUGCGAGAAAUUUUAUGAAAUUCAGAAUUGGCAUAUUGGAAGCCCCACAUCCAAACUUCAUCCUCAACAAUGCUGAAAGGAUGCUCAUGAAUCAUAAUUGCUGUAGCAAUUAUUUGUCUCAUCUUCUCUUGAGAAUAUCUUGCACCUGGUGUCACAAAGGGAUUAACACUUGAAUUGGAAGGUUGAAAUGGAAUCAAUGGUUGCUUCUUUUGUGCAGCAACAUGCAAUCUCCUUUGUAAGCAACUACUAGAAUGCCUCCAUAAAUGUGAAGUACUUGCUCCUUUUCCAGCGUAAGAAAACACUGAUUUGCAAUACUUGCAAAUAGCUUUUGUACCUUCAGAACUUUCAACUUGAUCAAAAUCGUCCCAAAUUGGUGAAGUCUUCUUCCUUUUUUUUGUAACAAUAGUUUCAUUACUACCAUUUUCAUCAGUGACUGGUUGAUUUGUAAUAAUUGUUGUGUGUGUUGGUGCAAUGCCAGUAUCUGUUGUUGCCAUUGUUGGUACUGACGGAUUAAUUUCUUCUCCAUUUAAAGAAAUAGAAUUUGUCAAUGGAUUACUUGGAGUUACAGAUUCAGCCAUUUCUAAAGCUUAUUGUAAUACCUAAACAAAAAUUAACAGACAACAUUAUCUCAUGAUUUUUUUUUUGCUUUCAUCAUAUCAAUGGCAUAAAGUAAGAACCUUUUAACGAAAAAAAAAGAUAAAAUUUUAUGUUCAGAAAAGUAGAAGUAAUAUCACAACACAAACAAAAAAAAUCAAACUUAAAAGAAGAUCUUUGACAGAAUAAAAUCCUAAUUGAUGAAAAAUAAUUAACAUUAUAACAAUAAAUAUAAAAAUAAUAAAAUAAAAAAUAAUGACAUGAGAAAGAAGAAGAAGUGCUUACAGUCAAAGGAAGAGAAGAUGAAGAGGAUGAUAGAUUGGUAGCUGGUAGCUGGUAGGAGCGUGUAAAGUGGAGAAGAGAAAAGAAAAUGACCGUGUUAAUGUGUAUUUCUUUAUUAGUGUGGAGGGAAAGAUUUUAGAAUUAUUUUAUUUGAUUGACUUUUGAUAUUCCAACAUCAAAGAUUAAAGAUAUUAAGAAAAUAAAAAUACACCUAUAUAAUUAAAGAGAUAAAUGGCUGAGUGGAUAAAGGUAUUUUUAUAAGUUAGAAGACCCAAGUUCAAUUCCUUCCAAUAGCAUUUUUAUUAGUAUAUAUAUAUUUGCAAGCUCAGGCCGGCCCAACAGGCUAUUUCAAAAGCCUAGGCCUGGCCUUUUAAAUAAUAUAGGCUUUUUUAAUAGCCUGAGCCUGGGCCUAUUUUCUAUCAGGCCAGGCCAGGCCAGGCUAAAUACAGGCCAGGCUACAGGCCCCUGGCAGGCCGCCUGGCCUAUUUCCACCCCUAUCUGAGUCCUUGAAUUUUCCCAUAUCAGCUCCUUAAGGUAUGUGAAUCGGCGCUUGUUACGGCGCUCUCUCAUCUUAGCUUUGUGUUCCUGCCGAUCUAACUUUUCAAGUAUCUGAUGGAACAGUUGGUUUGUUGUAGGUGCUUGUGCUGCUGAUGGAGGGAUGUCCUCAGCCGGUUCAGUAGGCUGGCUAGUAGUGGCUGCUGGGAGUCUAAUAUAUUUUUUGUUAGGGACGUAUUGAUCAUCCCGUGGAAGCAUGGCUUUGGUGUCCCCAGCUCUGUAGGAGACUCUGGCUGCUGAGACGAGAUCUGAGACCAAGACGGGAAAAGAUAAGUUGCCUGCAAUUUGUACGUGUCCCAUUGCAUUCCGGAUGUGUCUUGCUAGGUUCAGAGGCUGGUCUGUAAGGAUGCACCAUAGUAGAAUGGCCAUGUCUGCAGUGAAGGAGGAUUCGUAGGUGCUCGAAAAGACAUAAUGGGACAUGAUCUGUGCCCAUACGCGAGCCUCCAAGGUAAGUGCUGAAGCCGAUAUUCCCUUAGGACGGGAACGAUGGUAUUCAUAGAUCCAUCUGCUGCCAGGUAGUGCGAUAAAUCUGAGAACAGUGUUCCAGUCAAAUUGGUACAUCUGGUGCUUAAGUGCGGCUUCUUGAAAUGCGUCCAGUCCUUCUGGAGUAGUGGGAAGAUCUAAAGCUUGUUGAAUGGCCUCUUCUGUAAUGGGGACUUGCUUCUGUCGGACAUAGACAGACUGUAGGGUUGGCAGGUGGAAAUUAGAGUAGAACUCAACUACCCAAGAAAGAUUAACCUGCCGUGGCUGUCUCUGGAGGAAACCCCAUUGUCUUCGUUCAAUUUGCGGCUCAACAAAGGUAGCAAUAUUGGGUGGGAGGAUAAGAAGGUAUACGUUGUUGUAGCUCCAUUCUGCCAGGAUAGGGAACAUCUGCUCACAGUAGCGAUUGGAAAAUCGCGCAGUGUCCUUUGCUGGGAAGGCUUUCUCUUUUUCAUCAACCUUUAUAAUCCUCUUAAUUCUUUUUGUUGAGGGCUUGACUGCAGUUGAAGAAGGUUCUGCCACUAAUGCUAUUUUUGUUCCUCUCCUUGCUGUUGAUUUGGGAGUAGCUUUCUCUUUUCCUUUCUUAGUGGCCAUCCUGAAAGGGAGAAAAGAGAAAGUAUGUCAAAAUGUCAAGGGGUAGAGCAAGGAAGAUGAUGGUAUGGGUGGUAAUCAAUGCACAUUAAAGAAGAAUGAAGUUAACACAUGGUCAUGACUACAUGUGAAAAAAAUCAUAAAUGGAAAUUAGCCAGUGCAUAUGAUGACAAUUGAAUGCAAGGUGUUUAUUAGCAUGCAGGCAAAGGCAUGAGUAGCAUAGAUCAAGCGUUCAAUGCCCAUGUUAAAUUACCACAAAGUUCAAACUAACAACCUGUUUGUAAUAACAAUUAUGCUAAAUUAAUAAAAUAAUAAAAAUAGUUUUGUGAAAAGCGGGCAUUUAGAGUAGUAGAAUAAAAGAGAUUCAAAAAUAGUGCACAAUGCCAUACGGGUGUUUUCACAAACACAUAGCAUGCAUGGUGAGUAAGUUAUGGAAAAUAAUAAACGGAACAUGCAAGCAACCCUUUAAAAAUUAACAUAUAAUUGCCAAACAAGUUCUUAACAAUCCACAAGCAAAUCAUAAGGAAUAAUAAUGACCCUACUAAAUAUCUAACACCAAUUAAAAGAAAAAGAAAAUAUGGAUAACGAAAGUAAAAAGAAAAGAAAAGAAGAAAACAUAAGAAUAAGAAGAAAAAUAAAAAAGUAAGAAGAGAAGAAGAAAAAGAAAACCUUGGUAAUGGUGGUGAGAGAGAGAAAGUAGAAAGUGAGGAAGAAGGAAGAAGGAAGAAAUAAGGAGGGAAAAGAAAAAGUAGGAUUUGGGGGGAGAAAGAUAAGAUAUUUUGGCACAAUAGGUUAAGUUGUGCGGCGCGCAGGCGACGCGGACGCGUGGGUGACGCGGUCGCGCGACUUGUGCUUAUUCGGAUUGACGCGGUCGCGUGACACAGUUUAUGCUACUGGCACGAGGGCAGCCUCGCGCUCGCACAACUCUCUGUUCAAAAUCUUAUUUUGCCAAAUUUUAGGUGACGCGAUCGCGUGGUCGUCGCGAUCGCGUGAGUGGCCAUUAUAGGGAUAUGACGUGGACGCGUGAGGCACGCAUUCGCGUGGUAAGGGUUGUGCGUCUAGCGCUAGUCCAGCAUCACUCCAGCAUAACUUUCGGCUAUGCACCCUUUUCACGUCGAUUUUCAGGUGACGUGGUCGCGUGGGGUGAUUUGUGCCAAAGGCACGCCUCCAGCCACGCUCCUGCGUGACUUUCUAUUUGCUUUCUUAUUCUUUCUGAGCCACCUGCGACGCGGACGCGUCAUUGAUGCGGUCGCGUCGCGUGAAAUUUUUUUUUCGAAAUAAAAAUAUGCAAAUGCAGAUGCAAGCUAAAUGUGCGAAUAAAAAGAAGAGUUAUUGAAAAAGAAAACUGUGAAUAAAGAAAAGAACGAUCAUACCAUGGUGUGUUGUCUCCCACCUAGCACUUUGCUUUAACGUCCGUAAGUUGGACGCUCCGCUAGCUCAGUCUUCGGCUAUGUGUGGAUCUUCCAAGAGGAAGAUCUCGAGCUCUUUGUUUUUUUUCAACUUCACGCCAUGGUACAGCUUUAAACGAUGUCCAUUAACUUUGAUGAGUUCAGAGCUUGAAGGAUGACUUAGGUGAAAAACUCCGUACGGCUCGGCCUUCUCUACUCUAUAUGGACCUUCCCAUCUUGAUCUCAACUUGCCUGGCAUGAGCCUCAGUCGAGAUUUGUAAAGGAGGACUAAGUCCCCAUGUUGCAACUCCCUCCUCUUGAUGUGCUUAUCAUGUACAGCCUUCAUCUUCUCCUUGUACAGCCUUGAGUUCUCAUAAGCUUCCAGGCGAAGGCAUUCUAAUUCUUGCAGUUGCAACUUCCUCUCAGCUCCGGCUGUUUCAAAUCCUAUAUUGCAUUCCUUUAUUGUCCAAAAGGCUUUGUGCUCUAUUUCAACUGGGAGAUGGCAGGCUUUUCCAUAAACUAAGCGGAAAUGACUUAUCCCAAUGGGUGUCUUGUAUGCUGUUCUGUAUGCCCAAAGUGCAUCUUGUAGCCUGGUGCUCCAGUCUCUCCUAUGAGGUUUGACUAUCUUUUCCAAUAUACGCUUUAUCUCUCUGUUUGACACCUCGGCUUGCCCAUUAGUCUGAGGAUGGUAGGCGGUUGCAACUUUAUGAAUUAUCCCAUGCUUCUUGAUUAAUCCUGUUAGUCUCCUGUUACAAAAAUGGGUGCCUUGAUCGCUCACGAUUGCUCGUGGUGAUCCAAAGCGACAAAUGAUAUGGUUUCUAACAAAGAAAACAACAGUGUUAGUAUCAUCAGUGCGGGUAGGAAUUGCUUCCACCCAUUUGGAAACGUAAUCCACAGCUAACAAUAUAUAAAAAUAACCAUUAGAAUUUGGGAAUGGACCCAUGAAGUCAAUGCCCCAAACAUCAAAAACUUCACAGAAAAGCAUAAUUUGUUGAGGCAUCUCAUCCUUUUUGGAUAUAUUACCAAAUUUUUGACAUGGGAAACAAGAUUUACAAAAUUCAGCAGCGUCUCUAAAAAGAGUAGGCCACCAGAAUCCACAGUCUAGGAUUUUUCUAGCUGUUCUUUGAGGGCCAAAAUGUCCUCCACUCUCAGAUGAGUGGCAAGCCUCUAAGAUGGACUGGAAUUCUGAUUGAGGCACACACCGUCUAAUUACCUGGUCAGCGCCACAUCUCCAUAAAUAUGGGUCAUCCCAUAUAUAAUAUUUAGACUCGUUUUUCAGCUUGUCACUUUGAUGCUUAGUAAAGUUUGGAGGAAAAGUGCGGCUAACUAGAUAAUUAGCUACAGGUGCAUACCAAGGGACUACCUCAGAUACUGCUUGCAAGUUAUCAAAUAGGAAAUUAUCAGCUAUAGGAGUGGAGUCAUGCUUAAUGUGCUCAAGGCGACUCAAGUGGUCUGCCACUAGAUUCUGGUUACCACUCCUAUCCUUAAUUUCUAAAUCAAAUUCUUGUAGUAGCAGUAUCCAAUGUAUAAGCCUUGGUUUGGAUUCCUUUUUAGCUAAUAGAUACUUUAGAGCUGCGUGGUCUGAGUACACUACUACUUUCGUACCAAGUAAAUAGGCUCGGAAUUUAUCCAGAGCAAAAACAAUAGCAAGAAGCUCUUUCUCAGUAGUAGUAUAAUUAGACUGAGCGGCAUCUAAAGUUUUAGACGCAUAAGCAAUUACGAAAGGAUCCUUACCUUCGCGCUGAGCCAGUGCUGCUCCUACUGCAUGGUUGGAAGCAUCGCACAUUAUUUCAAAUGGCUAGCUCCAGUCUGGUCCUCUCACAAUUGGAGCUUGAGUCAGGGCGGUCUUCAGCUUAUCAAACGCUUGUUUGCAAUCCUCACUGAACUCGAACUCAAUAUCUUUCUGCAGUAGUCUGGAUAAGGGAAGUGCUACCUUACUAAAGUCCUUAAUGAAUCUCCGGUAAAAACCUGUAUGGCCAAGGAACGAACGGACUUCCCUCACAGAGGAGGGGUAAGGUAAACUAGAAAUAACAUCCACCUUUGCUGGAUCUACAGAAAUGCCAGUAUUAGACACAACAUGUCCUAGUACAAUCCCUUGUGUAACCAUAAAGUGAUAUUUUUCAAAAUUCAAUACAAGGUUUGUACUAACACAUCUAUCUAACACUCUAGAUAAACUAUCCAAGAAAAUAUUGAAGGAAUCACCAUAUACACUAAAGUCAUCCAUAAAAACCUCCAUACAGUCCUCAAUAAGGUCAGAGAAAAGACUCAUCAUGCACCUUUGGAAAGUAGCUGGUGCAUUGCACAAGCCAAAGGGCAUUCUCUUAUAAGCAUAAGUCCCAAAAGGACAUGUAAAAGUAGUCUUUUCCUGAUCUUCAGGAGCUAUAUGAAUCUGGAAAUAACCUGUGUAACCAUCUAAAAAGCAAUAAUGUGAUUUACCUGACAGGCGAUCCAGCAUUUGAUCAAUGAAUGGAAGAGGAUAGUGAUCCUUACGAGUGGCUUGGUUGAGACGCCUGUAAUCAAUGCAGACUCUCUAGGCGUUCUGUACUCUGGUUGCCAUGAGCUCUCCAUGCUCAUUCUUCACUGUAGUGACUCCAGACUUCUUGGGCACUACUUGUACUGGGCUCACCCAUUCACUAUCUGAGAUGGGGUAGAUGAUAUCUGCCUCUAGUAGUCUGGUCACUUCCUUCUUAACAACCUCUAAGAUAGUGGGGUUCAGUCUUUUCUGGGGUUGACAGACAGGUCUUGCCCCCUCUUCUAAAAAUAUUCUGUGCUCACAAACUUGAGGGUUGAUGCCUACUAUGUCUGCCAAACUCUAACCAAUUGCCUUCUUGUGCCUCCUCAGCAUACUAAGUAGCUGCUCUUCUUGUUGAGAAGUGAGUUCCCUUGCAAUGAUAACUGGAAACUUUUGUUUAUCCUCAAGGUAAGCAUAUUUGAGGUGUGGAGGGAGGGGUUUCAAUUCUAACUUCUGCUCAUGGUCAGGCUCUGGGUUGUCAAUGGUAAAGCACUGUCAUUGUUCUCAGAAAGUGUCCCCACACGCGGACCUUGUCCUAUGUACUUCUCUUCAAAUUCCUCCUGGUGAAUUUCAGCCACGGUUUCAUCUAUGAUGUCACACUGGAGGAUAGAAUAAUCCUUCGGAGGAUGCUUCAUAGCUACAUUCAGAUUGAAGAUUACUACUCGGCCAUCUAUUUCAAAAGAGUAUGUUUCUGAAAAAGCAUCUAAUUUGGACUUUGAGGUCUUCAGGAAUGGUCUUCCUAAUAUGAUUGAUGAUGGCUUCUCUGAGUCAUUUUGUGGCAUCUCCAGGAUAUAAAAAUUAAUGGAAAAGGUGAGUCCCUUAAUGCUCAUUAAUACAUCUUCAGCAACUCCAGCCACUAUAAUAAUGCUUUUAUCUGCUAACACAAAAUGAGCUGCCGACCUUUUUAAGGGAGGGAGCCCCAAAUUAUCAUAUAUAGACAAAGGCAUUAUACUAACACAUGCUCCUAAAUCACACAUGCAGUCAGAAAAUAUCACACCACCAAUAAUACAAUUAACCAUACAUGGACCUGGAUCACUACACUUCUCAGGUAUACCUCCCAUUAAAGCAGAUAUAGAACUACCUAAAGGAAUAGUUUCUAAUUCAUUAAUUUUGUCUUUGUGUAUACAUAAAUCUUUUAGGAACUUUGCAUAUUUAGGUACCUGCUGAAUAACAUCAAAAUGGAGAACAGUUACCUCAAUCUUUUUGAAUAUUUCUACCAUUUUAGGAUCAGGUUCCAACUGCUUCCUGGGCUUCCUUGCAAGUUGUGGAAAUAGAAUAGGAAUGGCGUUUUCUGCAGUGUCUGCGCCCUUUUGUGCUUCUUCCUGUGAUUGAGCUUUUUCUUCUUCAGCCAUGUCCUGUAUGUCCUUUUCCUCUUCAACAUCUUCUACUUCCACUACCUCUUCAGCUGAGGUGUGUUCUGGUGGGUUUGGCUCCUCUUGAUUCCUCUCUUACAGUGUAGUUCCGGACCUUAGGGUGAUGGCAUUGAUGUCACCCUUCGGAUUGGGCAAGGGUUGAGAAGGAAUUCCACUGGAGUUUGCCUGUUGAGUGUUUGAAGUAUUGGGUGGUGCCAGCUGAGAGAUGAGAGCUUGUAUGGCGGAUUCUAGGCCAUUAAGUGAACUUUCCAUCUUCCUUUGUCCUUGUGCAAUGGAUUGAAUGGCCUCUUCACUCGGAGAGGAAUUAGAUUGAGGGAUCUGCGAAACUUGUUGCUGGUUGUGCUGUGGUCCUUGGGACUGCCUCAGGUGAGGUGCUCUGUAAGGCUGGUUCUGGUUCUGCUACCUGUUGUUGUUAUUAUUCCACCUCUGAUAUCCUUGAUUGUCUCUGCCUCCUCUGUUAUUGUUGUCCCUCCAAUUCUGUUAGAAUUAUCUCUCCAACCUUGGUUAGAAUUGUCCUGCCAUCCAUGGUUGUAACUGCCACCUUGAUUGUACCCUUGGUUGGGGUGGUCAUAGAAGUUAUGAGUGGCUGCCACGGUGUUGUCUUCCUAUUGGAGCUGCGGGCAUUCAUCAGUAUAAUGGCUGUAAUCAGCACAUAUUCUGCACACUCUCUGUGGGACUAGCUGUUGGCUUUGAUGCGCUUGUUGUUGACUCAACUGCAUCUGCUUCAGUAAGGUGGUCAUUUCACUUAUACUCUGAGCCAGAGCAGUAGUCUCCUUGCUAGAAGAUACCUCUGCAACAGCUUUUGACCGGCCUUGUUUCUGCCUGUGAUUCCUUGUAGAUUCAGCUAAGUCGCUGAUCAAUUGCCAUGCCUCAUCAGUGGUCUUGUACUUUUUCAUAGACCCAUUGCUAGCACUUUCCAAUGUAGUCUUAUCUUGGGGCCUCAUGCCCUGUGUUACGUAGCCGAGCAACACUAUCUUGUCAAUCAUAUGGUGGGGGCAUGCUUCCAGAAGGUUGUUGAAGCGCUCCCAGUAUUCAUAGAGAGUCUCAGAUUCGUCCUGAACAAUCAUGGAAAUGUCUUUCCUCAGUUUAUCAGUAACUUCAGCUGGAAAGAAUUUUUCCAAAAAUUCCCUUCUAAGUGUAUCCUAGUCGGAUACAGUUGCUGCGGGUUGAGUGUAGUACCACUCUCUCGCCUUUCUCUCAAGAGAGAAUGGAAAGGCUUUUAACAAAAUAAAAGUUUCAUCUGCACCAUCGCGCCUGACAGUAGAACAGGUUGCUUGGAAAUCUCUCAGGUGCUUGAUAGGCUCUUGAUCAUGUAAGCCAUGAAACUUAGGCAUCAAGUUUAGCAGUUCAGUCUUUAUUUCAAAGUUCGUAGCCACCGCUGGAUGAUGCGCUUGAAACGGUUGUAAUGAAAAAUCAGGGGCUCCAGCCUCCUGGAUAGUAAUUCUCCUAGGUGCUGCCAUGUCACCUGCACAUAAAAUCAACCGAAUCAGCAGAAAGGGAGCCUGUUUCUUACUCAAGUGACGUUUUAAAUCCGCCCUCAGAGAGGACUAACUGACGCCGAGCUUGCCUUAUUCGUGAAAUAGUUCUUUCAAUCUCAGGAUCGAAUACUGGCAAGCUUGGAUCAGGAAGUGAACGCGUCAUUUAACGAAAGAAACAUGAAGCUCAUAGUAGCAAAAUAAAAUAAAAUGCAAACAAAUAAAUUCCAAUUAAUAACUUUAGCACUCUAUUACAACUCUCCGGCAACGACGCCAAAAAUUGACGUGGCGAAAAUUGGCGAGUUAAGAAAUUAUUAGAAGAGAUACGUUGCAAGUACAGUUCUUAACCAACCAGAAAUCCGCUUAUCAAUUUAGAAGGGUUGUCACAAAAUUUAAAUUAAAAUACUGGGAGUAUGAAUCCCAGGUCGUCUCCUAACAAGUUGCAGAAAGGUGUGCUAUUUUAUUAAUCAGAUGUCUUCAAGAAAAAUGGGUUGAGUUGAAUAACAGGAAUUUAAAUUAGAGAAUUUAUGUAAUUUUAAAUGAAAGCCUUGGCUUGGAGUAGAUUAGUUGGAAGCCCUAUUCUUGUUGGAGUACUCUCAAGAUUAAUUGAUAAUUAAGGGUUGUUCUGUUUAGUUAUCCCUAACUAGGUAAGGAAAAGUCAAACAAGUUGGAAAGUUAUUUCUAUUCACAAGUCUCAAUCCGCUUACUUGGAAGGAUUAGUGUCAGUGACUAGAGAGCAAUCCAACAAUAAACCCAAUUACAAUUUUUCUUUUAAGCAUUCCAACGCAAGAUCUUCCUUUCAAUCAAUUCCCAUCCAAGUUAUGGAACUACUCGCUCAUUGUGAAUAUAGAAUUCAUAACAUAGAAAAGGGAAAUAAAGAAAGACAUGAUAAAUAAUAAUAAAAAGACCAAUUAAAAAUAAAAAUAGUUCUUAUAUUAAUAAACUCUAAAAAUAAUCCAAUAGUAAUUCUGAAUAAACAAAGGACAUGGAAGAGAAAGAGACAGGUAAAGAAAACAAACUAGAAUGACAAAGUCUUGCUGAGGUAAUAACUCUUCUCAAUAUCCCAAUGCGAAAAGCAAUAAUAAUAAAAUCCUAAGAACUCUGAAUGUGUAGAGAGAAAACCUAGAGGAGGAGUAAAACUAGAUCUAAAACUAAGAAUGUGUGGAAUGAAUGUUUCCCCCCGGUUUCUGCAUGUUCCUUGGCUCUAGUCUGCUUUUCUGGGCUGAAGAUUGGGUCAAAGUAGGGCCCAAAAUUGCCCCCAGCGAAUUCUGCAGAUUCUGCAGAUCACGCAUGUCACGCGAUCGCGUCAUUCAUGCGGACGCGUCAUUUGGCGUUUUGCCUUGCCACGCGUGCGCAUCGUCCACGCCUCCGCGUCACUUGUGCAGUUCCAAUCCGCGCGGUCGGGUAAGCCAUGCGUCCGCAUCACUACGAUUUCCUGUAUGUCGUGCGGUCGCGUGAGCCAUGCGUCCGCGUCACUUCUCGCUGGUCAUCUCCUCAAUUUCUUGUGUUCCUUCCAUUUUUGCAAGCUUCCUUUCCAAUCUCCAAGUCAUUCAUGCCCUAUAAAGCCUGAAACACUUAACACACAGAUCACAGCAUCUAAUGGAAUGAAGGAGAAUUAAAAUAUGUAAUUAAAAGUCUUUAGGAAGCAAAUAUUCAAUCAUGUAAUAAUUUUAGGAAGGAAGUAUAAAUGCAUGCCAAUCAUAUGAAUAAGUGGGUAAAGAAUUGAUAAAACCAUACAAUUAAGCACAGUAUAAAUCAUAAAAUAGUGGUUUAUCAACCACCCUGAGAAUUAUUAUUAAAAUUUUGUGGCCUCUAAGGUUACUCUCUCCACCCAAAUUUUGGGUGAUUUCUCCACCCCUGAUUGUAGGUCUGAGAAUAGGGAUCAUUAUUGGGAUUUCUAGGAGCACUACCCAUGUAAUUGGCCUGUUCAGAAGAGGAUUGAGCAUAAUCAUAAUUAUCAUUUUGCACAAAAUUACCUGUCAUGUCAUAAGAGACCUCUUGAGAUGGAUUUUGGGUGUUGAUAGUUGAGACUUGCAUGCCACCCAUCCGCUGAGUAAGUAGAUUUAUUUGUUGAGACAUAAGCUUGUUCUGAGCAAGAAUAGCAUUAAGAGCUUCUACUUCCAUAACACCCUUCUUCUGAGGAGUCUCAGAGUUCACAGGAUUCCUGUUAGAUGAGUAUAAAUAUUGGUUGCUAGCAACCAAUUCAAUCAGCUCAAUAGUCUCCUCCGGUGUCUUCUUCUUGUGCAGUGAACCACCUACAGAAUUAUCUAAGCACAUCUUGGACAUUUCACCCAAGCCUUCAUAAAAGAUGUCUAGUUGGGUCCAUUUCGAGAACAUGUCCGGAGGACAUUGCCUAGUCAGUAGCUUGUAUCUCUCCCAAGCUUCAUAAAGAGUCUCACCAUCCUUCUGCCUGAAAGUCUGAACCUCCACCCUAAGCUUAGUCAGCUUCUUUGGUGGGAAAAAUUUAGUAAGAAACUCAGUAACAACCUUGUCCCAAGUAUCCAAACUCUCCUUGGGUCGAGAAUCUAGCCAUAGCUUUGCUCCAUCCCUCAGAGCAAACGGGAAGAGCAUGAGUUUGUACACCUCGGGGUUCACUCCAUUUGUCUUCACAUUAUCACAAAUCUGCAGAAAAUUAGAAAUAAAUUGAUUUGGGUCUUCCUGGGGAAGACCAUGAUACUGGUAGUUUUGUUGCACCAGGGUGACCAAUUGUGGCUUCAACUCAAAGUUGUUCACAGCUAUAGGAGGCACCACAAUGCUUUUUCCAUAAAGAUCUGCAGUAGGAGCAGAGUAAGAGCCAAGCACUCUCCUUUGUGGCUCAUUCUCAUUCGAAUUUUCCACAUUGGCAUUAAUAGCAUUAUUAGGAUCCAUAGUGGAUUCUGCAGUCUUGUAGAGUCUUGCUUGUUGCAAACGUCACCUGAGAGUUCUUUCGGGUUCAGGAUCAAAGUCUAAAAGAGGUUCCUUGUCUCUGUUCCUGCGCAUAAAUAAACAGAAAACAAGAAAAGAUGGGAAUCUCUACGUCAGAGUGCAGAGAACUCCCAGUGAGGUAACCUGUAUAAAAUAAUAAAAUAGAAAUACUAAAUAAAUAAAAUAGAAAAUUUCGAAAAUGAUAACUGAAAUAAAACAAAAAAAUUCGAAAAUUAAAAGGGAAAAUAACAAGGAAAUUAAAAUGAAAUUUACUAGGUGACACCAAACUUAAUUUCAGAAAUUAAGGAAAAAUAUUAGUUCUAUUUAUUUAUUUAAAUUUUUUUUUGGAAAUACUAAGCAAAAUUUAAAUAAAAUUAAAAGUAAAACGCCUAAUCUAAGCAAUCAAAUAAUUAAUAGUUGUUAAUUACUAUCAAUCCCCGACAACGGCGCCAAAAACUUGGUGCAGUAAUUUCUAGCCACAGACUAACCGGCAAGUGCACCGGGUCGUACCAAGUAAUACCUCAGGUGAGUGAGGGUCGAUCCCACGAGGAUUGAAGGACUAAGCAACAAUGGUUGAUUAAUCUACUUAGUUAGACAAACAGAAAAUAGAGUUUGAGAGUUCAAAAAGCAUUAAACAGAAGACAAGCAAAUAAAUAAGUUGGGAAUAAAAUAUGGAGAAGGCAAUUAAGGCUUCAGAGUUAUCUAUUUUUCGGAUUGACUUUUCUUAUUAAUUUAUUUUAAUCAUGCAAGAUUUAAUUCAUGGCAAACUAUGUGUGACUAGACCCUAAUUUCUUAGACCUUUCUAGUCUCCUCUAAAAUUCAUUAACCGCCAAUUCCUUGGUCACUUAAUUCCAAUUAGAGGGUGAAGUUCAAUUCUAGUUUAUAUGCAACAGAAAUCCUAAUUACCCAAAUAUAAAAGGAUUAUAUGUCACGUAUCCCAUUAAGUCCAGAUAAUUAAAAUUUAGGAGAAAUUGUUUUCAAGCUGUUGUUCAAGUAAAGAAUUUUUCCAAGUUAUACAAGAACUCAAUUAGAAAGAGGGUCAUACUUCCGUUCCACCCAAAUUCAUAAAACAAAGAACAAAAACAAUCCUUGAAAUAUAAAUAAGUGCAUGAAUUAAAAUAAAAAAAUAAUAAAAUCAAUCCAUACAAUAGAUAGAGCUCCUAACCUUAACAGUGGAGGUUUAGUUGCUCAUGGUUCAGAGAGAAAAAUAAGGAUUCUGAUAAAAUGUAUUUUGGCUGAGGUGGAAUGGAAUCCCCCCAUGGAAUAAUUCCAAUCCCCUUUUAUAUCUAAUCUUAAUUAAUUUAAAAUCUAUCUUCUAAAACUAAAAUAAUAUCUUUUUCUAUUAAAAAUUAAAGUUUAAAUCGGAAUUAAUAAGAAUCAUCGUUUUCUGCACGUGACGCACGUCACGCGUACGCGUCGAUGGUAUUCUUCGCGUGUCACGCGUACGCGUUAGGUACGUGCACGCGUCGCUAAGCAACUUUACUUUUCACGCGUACGCGUCAGGUACGCGCACGCGUCGCUCCUCGCUGGUCAUCUCCUUUAAUUCUUGUGCUCCUUCCAUUUGUGCAAGCUUCCUCUCCAUCCUCUAAGCAUUUCUGCCCUAUAUAGCCUUCUUCUCUUUUUCUGCGGAAGCUCCAUCAAAUCCAACCAAAUGCUACCUAAAAUAAACAGAAUUGCACAAGACUCAAAGUAGCAUCUAUUGUGGCUAAAAGAUAAUUAAUUCUUGAUUAAACUCAACAAAUUGAAUGCAAAUUCACUAGGAAAAGAUAGGAAAGAUGCUCACGCAUCACUUCCUUGCAUCCCAACAAGUUGCACAUACUUUGCACCCAUUGUUGGUCACAAUUGAUUAAGAUCAAAUCGGAUUUGUCAAAAUUGAUGCUUAACCCCGACAUCAACUCAAAGCAUCGUAGAAGCCUCUUGUAUUUCUUAAUAGUCUCCUCCUCUAGCGGACAAAACAACAUAGUGUCAUCUGCAAACUGAAAAUGCGACAAUUCUAUGUUGUCUCUCCCAACUAAUAAUGGGGAUAUACGUCUGUUCCUAACUGCAUUUCCGACCAUUCUAUGUAGGACGUCAACAACAAGUACAAACAAAAAGAGAGAUAGUAAGUCCCCUUAUCUCAAACCUCUUUCCAUCUUAAACGACUUUAUUGGUGAACCAUUUAUCAAAACCGACAUAGAAGUUGUGCCGACACACUCCAUAACCAACUCCCUUCACUUUCGCCCAAAUCCCAUCUUCUGCAAAACGAUAUCCACAAAGAUCCACUUGACUUUAUCGUAAUGCUUUUGAAAAUCUAGCUUGAGUUUUUUUUUUCCUUAUUUUAAGCCAAUGCACAGUUUCACACACAAUAAGUGCCCCAUCAUGUAUUUUACGACCCUUAACAAAUACACUCUGAGUCUCCCCAACCAGUCUUGGUAUCACUGAUCUCAUCCUCCUAACUAUCACCUUCGAAAUCACCUUAUACACACAUCCAACCAUACUGAUCGGGCAAAGGUCUUUGAUUUCCUUAACCCCAGUGAACUUGGGAGCCAACGCAAUCCAUGUAAUAUUAGAGUCUUUUGGUUGUCUGAAUGUCUGAAAAAAACCAGUCACAGCUGUCGUAAACUCAGUCUCAAUCUCAUCCCAAUACUUCUUAAUAAAGUUCAUGUUAUACCCAUCACUUCUUGGUGCUUUAGAUGAUUUACAGUCCUACACAACCUCUUUAAUCUCUUCAACUGACGGCAAUACCUCUAAAGCCACAGAAUCCUCUUCAGAUAUCAUAUCCACCAGUCUAUCCCUGAAGCUCACCACAUGAGACUCCUCUUGAUGAUACAGUUGCUUAUAAAACCCUCUGAUAGCAAUCUUUAUUCUAGCUGAGUUUCUAACUAAUCUUUCAUUAAUUACCAGAGCAUCAAUCCUGUUAUUCCUCCUCCUCGAAGAAGCUAUGUAGUGAAAGUAUCUGGUGUUUUUGUCCAUGUCCUUCGCAUGCUGAGAUCGUGACAUCUGUUUCUAGUGCAACUCUUUUCUAACAUACCAUAUUUCACAGCAAGUCACCAAUGCCUUAUUUCUUGCCUCCACUGUUCCAUCAUACUAUGUCAUCUAUCUUCAUUAUCUCUUCCUCAAACUUCAUAAUUUUCUUAUCCAUAUCACCAAACUUGCCCUUGUGCCAUCUUCCCAUAAAAACUUUCAAAGCCUUCAAUUUUUCUGUGAAAUAUACCUCCCCUAAGCCCCUAUAUUCCUCCUUAACCAUUAUUAGAAAACCUUCAUUUGUAAAUCAUGAGUCUAGGUUUCUGAACGGUCUUGGGCCGCCUCUCAUCUUUGUAUUUUUCACUAUCAUCGGAUAGUGAUCUGACAAGCCCCUUGGUCCUCCUCUUAGGCGAGUCUCUGAGAACUCCUCAAUCCAUUCCAGACUAACCAUCACUCUAUCAAUCCGACCACAUGAACAACCUCUAAACCAUAUAUACUUAUGGUCAUUAAGGGGUAAGUCCACUAAGUGCAUAUCUUGUAUCCAAUUCUUGAAUACGUCAACAGAUACUGUUAAGCUACUAGUACCUUUUCUUUCCUCUACCUAGAUAAUCUUAUUAAAGUCCCCCAUAAAGUAACAAGGGACCUAGCAUAAUCUAGCAUUAUAGCUCAACUCCUCCCACACAACAAGUUUCUCAUCUCUAGUAUGAGCGCCAUAAACCAAGAAGAAAGUGCAAUUAAAAUUAUUUUUUAAUAAAAUCCCUUCAACACACAACCAUCUCUCUCUUUUAUAGCAAUUAUUCUUUCUAAACUUAAUUUCAUCCCAUAGUAACAAAAACCCACCCGAUGUACCAUUAGACGCAAUAUAUUCCCAUCCCAUACUAUCGCACCCCUAAAGCCGCACUAUAUCAAAUCUCGUCAUUACAUACCUUUUAGUCUCAAUUAAUCCUAACAUAUUCAGUCUAUAUUUCUUCUUUAAGCCCUUUACCAUGCUUAACUUUCCAUCUCCACUCAACCCCCUAACAUUCCAUGAACUAAAAAUCAUUCUAAAAGAUUAUUACAUACCUUUUUUUUAUUUUUGGGUCUGUAGUGUUUUGCUUUCGACAUUUGUUUUGCCAAUCCCUUUUUUUUUAGCAUUUUCUUCAUUAUGAGCUUGGAGAAUUGCGAUAAUAUCAUCUUUUUUAUUGUAUAAUAUUGCACCAAAUUCCACUGCUAAUUUCCAUGUCCUCUUGUUUUUCAUCGUUUGCUCCUCCACUUUCAAACUCUGAUUGUCGCUUGUACCGCCAUCAAUUCCAUCACCUUCUCCCUUGUUAGAGUCUCCCCAAUUUCAUCUCCACCGUGCCCAAACUCACCUUGCCUACUGCCGAACCUCUAUGUUUAUUAACAACAUGAAAUUCAUGAUCCACAUGCUCAUCAGUCCAGGUCCUAUUUGCAGUUUCACUACUAGCCUUGUUCUCACCCUUAGUACCCGUGUUCCCAACAUCAUCCCCUGCAUUACACACCUCCCUGUUACCCCCCAUAUCGACAACAUCUUCAUCAUCUCCAUAGCCUCCCAUUACCGAGUCCUCAGCAUCCGCAACCCCUGCUUCACCUGGGUUUAUUAUGUCCCCUAAUAAUUUAAUUUUGAUGCAUUGUCAAUACAAAAUAAUUUUAUACAUGUAUUCAAUUACGUAAUAUCACAUCAGUAAAAAUAACCACCAUCUUUUAGAUUAUUGAUUGUACUGCGUAAAAAGUCACCCAAAAAAUGAAUAUAAUUGAACGAUUGUGUAAACGGUAAUGUUUAGGAGACAAAAAAUAAUCAAUUUAAAUUUAACUUAUUUAACAUUUAUUUAUUAUAGAGUGCAUUAAAUAAAAUCAAGAAUAGUAAGUUUUGAUAGUUUUUGACUAACUUUUUGUUUUUCAAAAUUUUUUUAUUAUACAAAAUAUUUUAAAAAACUGUUAGUGCAUUAAAAUUAAUCUGAUAUAUCAAUUGUAAAUACUUAUGUAGAUACUUGUGUGUGCAAAGGUAUAUUGUUCUAAGAUUGAAUUAGGACACGCAUAGCAUUUUUUCUUUCCAAAGAUAAGAUGUGUAAUUUUAUAUAAUAAAAUGGUUCUGUUAGAUAGACAACAGAAAAUUUGAACAACAUAAAUAAUGGGCCGUUUUUUGGUCCAUCGAAGAUAAAAAAAAAUUCACCCCAAUCAAGUAACAAAACUUUUUUACCUUAUCUUUUCAAAUUUCUAACCAUCCAACACUAUUGCCUCUCCUGAAAAUCCUAUCAGCACCAUUGUUGUCCAACCAGUUCCCCACUGAAUUUGCAACAAGAACAAUCAUCCCUUUUGUAUGUAAAUAAACAUCCAUCCCUUUUAUAUGUAAAAUAAAAUAUAAUAAUGAAUUUACAAUAAGAACAACCAUCCCUUUUGUAUGUGAAAUGAACAUCCAUCUCUUUUGUAUGUAAAAUAAAAUAUAAUAAUAGAUUUGCAACAAGAACAACCAUUCCUUUUGUAUAUAAAAUGAACAUCCACAGGCAAAUAAAACCUCUAAUAAAUACCUUGUCAGAAAUUUGCUCCUCCACAAUAUUACCAUCUGAGUGAGUAUUGUUCUUAUAUGGAUACUUGGAGGGAGAGCUCAGCCUCUAGGAAUCGAUGUCGAGUUGUUAUCUUCGGUGCCGACCUUUGAGCUUUGUGGUAAUCCGAGCUUUACUCCAAGAGGAUGUCCAAUCGCGUAGAGCUUUGAGCAAGAAACAGGGGAGAGUGUACCUGCAAAGGCACUCCGAAACUUAAGUCAGUAUUGAGAAUUCAAUGUAUCUUUUAGGAUAGAACAUCAUACCUUUUUAUAGGUGAUAAUGUAUAAAUUGGUUAUGUUCCUGCUUUAUUUCCUGUAUUAAAGAGCAAUAAUAAGGGUGAAACGUUAGGUUGGACGUUUCACUUUUGUGAAGCAGUCCGUUAAGCUGAUUUGUAACGUCACUUUUUAAUAAAUGACAUUGAUUGUCGAUUAGUAACUGUAAUACCGAUUAAUAACGUAAAUUGUCGAGUAAUGACUGCAAUGCCGAACUAUAACGCCAAUUUUCUGGGUAAUAAUGUGAACAAUGCCGAGUUAUGAAUGAUAAAGCCGAUUUAUAAUAUUGGAUUUGUAAUGACCAGACCACAGCCCCCAAGCUUAGCCUGAAAAAAUGUUUAAUGAAGCAGGUUGAGCUUUUAAUGAUGUAUGAGUCGGCUGCUGAAUAGUUCGGUGUGUGCUUCUGUCUUGUAGCCCCCAGGUUAAGGUGCUUUAUUGAACAGUUACUGAGACUAUAGGCAUUCAUGAUUAGGAUAGAAAAAUAAUUAAAUGAAGGUAUUAAUGAGUUUGCGUGUUUCCAAGGUGGGUUUAUUGGGUUUGACGUGACUGAUUUGAUGGGAAGUGGAAGCGAGAUUUUGGGUUAAAGUGUGUGAAUUAAAGUUUAGGAAUUCUGAAGGUUUGCAUGCUUGCUGUUUUAUUUUUCUCAAGCGUUUUCAACCAAAACAUGAGUAAAAGAGGUGAGUGUCUCUUAGUUCUUUUUAGUUUUUCUGCUUAAUCGUGUUCUCUUCUUCUCCUUCUCUGCUUCUGUUUUUCCAAUGGGUUAUGAGAAAGAAACGAAAGGGGAGGUAGAUUGGUCUUAUGACUGGGUGAAUGAUGAUGUAAGGGAUCGUGUUUCUCUGUUUUUGGAUGUUGGUGCUGUGAAUGAGAUAGAUAAGUCUAAGGUUGCUAGGGCUAAUUCUGGGGUUCGAUUGGAGCUGCUCUCCUGUACGGUUGACGAUAGAAUUUUUCAUAGAGGGGAGGGUUUUGAGCAUUUUUUUAUGUAUAGUUGUGUUUUGGAGGAACUAAGGGUGAGAAUUCCUUUCAGUGAUUUUGAGCGUAAAGUUCUGAAGCAAUUGAACUGUGCGCGCUCACAACUUCACCCCAAUGGUUGGGCUUUCCUUCGGGCAUUUGAGAUUCUUAUGGAAUUUUUGGAAGAAAAUCCAUCAGUGGAGUUGUUUUUCUCAUUGUUUCAGGCGAAGGGUGUUUGGAAGGGUGGUUGGGUGAACUUGAACAACUCUCCGGGGUUUGGUGUGUUCAAGUUAUAUAAAUCGUCUUUUAAGAACUUUAAGGAAAUGUACCUUAAGGUAAGUAGUUGCGAGGAUGACUUUCCGUUCUAUGUGGACGAGCAUUUGGGGAAAAAAAUUUUUCUCUGGUGGUGUUCAGAGCCUCAAAAUAUUUUAGGACCUGAAACUAUAAGUCCAAAAGAUGAGUGCAUAAUUGAGCUUUUGACUGAAGUUGUUGAUCGGAAGGAGUUGAUUUCUGUUUAUGCUCUGCUGCACUGGGAGGAAAAUAAAGCUGCUGUUAUAGAUUAUCUGGGUAAGAUUUUGAAUUGUGGAUGUUGUAUCAUAUCUGACGUUUUUUGAACAUGUUUUUGUUUUUCUUGGUUUUCAGGUAGUAAGUACCCAGGUGUAUCUGCAGCGAGUUUGAGGUCUCGUGUGAAGAGCAAAGGUUUGGAUAAGGAGGUAUCCUCAUCGAAGGCAGAUAAGGUCGGUAUUGGCGAGGUUGAUCAGCCAAGGCUAGGGAGGAGGAAAGUUAUUGCUAAGAAGAGAAAAGGUGCUGUGGUGGAUUUGUCCGACAUUUCUGAUGAUGAGAAGGAUGAUGUUCCGAUGGAGGAGGUUCAUAGGUUUUGUGAUAACCAGAAGAAGUUGCAUGAUUUUGUUGAGCAGAGUGAGAGGUCGUCGCUCUAGGGGAAAGAUUAUCCUUUCAUGAUCACUGCUGAUGAGGUAUGCCAGACCCCGUCUGAUGUUAGUUUGGCGGAAGAGGUGGGGGAUGUGGCGAUUGAUCAAUAUAUGCAAGUGACUUCUAUUUUGUGAGGUAAAAAGUUUAUAUUUGUGUUUUUGUUUUGUGGAAAAGUAAUGUGUUAAUGUCUGAUCCUCAGGUUGUGGGUCUGCCGCUGGCGACUUUAGGAUGGAGCCGUGAAAAGAUUCAUCGGAAGUUGGUUGAGAAAAAGGAGGAUCCGAGUUUGAGGGAAGAGUUGGCUAUAAAGGUUGCUAAGGUUUCCGAGCUUGAGGUGAAGUUAGUUGAGGUUGAGAAACAUUUGAAAGAAGUGAAAGAGAGCUAUGCCAAAGAUGUUGAAGAUUUAAAGAAGAAAGAAGCAGACUUAUCUUCUAUGAGUACCCGUAUGAUCGAGGUUACUGCUCGGUUGAAGGUGGUGGAGAAGAACAAGCAAGGAGAAAUUCUUGAUUCCUUCCUUGAAGGAUUUGAGAGGGCUGUUCUUCAGGCGAGAUUUCUGGCUCCCGAGGUGGAUUUCUCGGCAAUGGAUCCAGGCAAAAUAGUGCAGGAUGCGUUAUAGUUGAAGAUGGUGGUGCUGCUGAGCAAGGAGAUGAAAAUGUUUAGUUUGUGUGUUGUUUUGCAGCUGUUUGACUUAAUUUGCUCUUAAUUUUGUGAUAUUAUGUAUGCUGCUGUUUUGUGAACAACAAACUGUUGGUAUUUCAGGUUACAUGCUGUCUUCUGCAUGUUAGGACUAUAAUAUGAUAUUGUUAUUUGUAUGAUAUGUGGGUGGUUUUCUGGUUUGUGAAUGUGGCAUUGAUGCGAAAUAUAGUAGUGGUACUAAUGGUGUAGUGCUAUUAUUUUGAUGGAGAAGUACCAUGUAGAGGACUGAUUAGGCCGAAUUCGUGAUGCCGAAUCAGAUAGUGAAAAUUGUAUUGUGUUUUAGUGAGCAGCUAUGAUUUUAAUUUAAAAUCGGUUAACAUGUAUUCAGUUGCGAAGGAUUUGUUCGGCAGUUUGUUAGUCUGACCCGUUAUUUGUUUAAUAUUUGCGGCAUAGUCGGGUUAUAGCAUUCUGAUUCUUACUAAGAGAUUUGAUGGAUUUGUUGAAUUCGGAAUGACUGGAUUCCGAUUUAGAUCGGUAAUUUGUUUGGUAAAUUCGGCUUGCGAUUAAGAUCUGAUAUUUGUUUGAAUGAAUUUCUAUUAUAAGGUCUGCUAUCGGAUUCAUUGAUUGUAUCUGAGUAUUGGGUUCCGUUUUAAGGUCGGCAGUCGGAUUGACUGAUUGUUUCCGAGUGAUUGGGUUCCGUUUUAAGGUCGGCAGUCAGAAUGACUGAUUGCAUCCGAGCGAUCGGAUUCCGUUUUAAGGUCGGCAGUCAGAAUGACUGAUUGUAUCUGAAUGAUCAGAUUGAUAGUAUAGAUCGGCAUUAUAUGUUUAUGCAUGAAGCGAGAAAUGUAGAAAGUGAUGAGUUGAUAAAAUGAAAUAUUUAUUGAAGAACCUUUGAUUCCAAAGGCCCAGGUAGGCUAGCCUCGUUAAAACCUCUCUAAGCAAAACCCUUGUGGGAAAAAUCUUGGUAGUAGGAAAAAGAGUACUGGCAUGUCCCUGGUUUUAACUGUAAUAUGACUUUAAGGAAGAUACAUUCCAAGUGUUAGGGAGAUUUUUACCC